CCACAUUACUUUUUUAAGCCUAUGCACAUACAAUCAAUAUAGUCAGCCUACAUGCUGUAUCUCAUUACCAUCGUAAUAAUUAAUUAAUACAAUUAUUGAAGUUACAUACCCACAACAUUGCCACAAAUAUAAAUAUAAUAAGUUCAUAGAAUAUCACUAUAGAGCAUGAUGUGCAGGUCGUCCUAGUUACAUCAUUCGGCUACAAGCACAUCAGAACUAAAUUGUAAAAAAAAACAUGCAUUUAAUCAAACGCAUCAAGUGUAGGUUGCUGCAUAAUCAGUUCUGUCACAACUCUUUCUUGCAGGUUGCUGCAUAAUCAGUUCCUGUCACAACUCUUUCUUUUGCCUUUGUGUGCUACUCUCUGACAGCCAUUGCAACAUGGAAAACAAAAGCAAAUACUGGAGUGUCAAUGUCAAUAAAAAAAAUGCAUUGUUCAUCACAUAGUUUUCACUACCUUGCUCAUGUCUUAAAGACAACUAGUAGCAGGCGCGUGCCCUCGCGCGCGUUAUCAGUUCAUAAUGCUGAAUUAUGAACAAUCUCAUACAAUUUAUUAGGAUAGAAAUUAGUUAUAAGUUUAGUAAUCAAUGCAUAGACAUGCAUGAAUCUGUAUAUAUUAUAAGGUUUAUUAUUUCGAAUAUUACAUGCUAUUCAUUGGUUGCAUAACUUUACAUAAAAGGUUACAGGUUGCACAGAUAGCAUAUGGUCUGGUGACAACACAUCUACGACUUAAGGUGCCAGUGAUUAUGUUUGCAAGCAAAGUAAAAAAAACUAAAGGAUGUAAGAUUAAUGUCAAUAUAAUAAAGGGAUGCCAACUAAUAAAGAUGGAAUUAAUUUGUCCACACAACUAAGAUCACUCAAAUCAUAAAACUGAUAUCCACGUGUAUUGAAAUCACAUCAAUAACCUAGAGAAGGAAGAUACAAUAUGGCACUCAAAAUCUAGAAACUUGAAAUCCAUGAAUAUGGAGGUGAUAUCCAUGGAUAUGCAUUGUAACUAAAACUUCUGAAUUUUGAACCAAAGCAAAAAUAGUAGGAAGAAGUGUAAAUAGUAGGAAGAAAAAAACAUCAUAGAAAUCUGAAAUGCUAGUUAGGAGUCUAUAUUUUAAUAUAAACAAUUAGCCUUCCCUUAAUCACUAAAACAGCCGUAUAGUAGGAAGAAGUGUAAAUAGUAGGAAGAAAAAAAACAUUUCAUAGAAAUCUGAAAUGUUAGCUAGGAGUCUCUAUUUUAAUAUAAACAAUUAGCCUUCCCUUAAUCACUAAUUCAAAAGGCUGGUUACUCUAAACUGGCCUCUGAAAACAUGGUCAAUGAAGAAUAUGUGGUUACUCUAAGUGAGAUUUUCCCAAUAAAAUGUUUGCAGAGGAAUCGAAAGUACCAAGAUAACCUUUUAGGCCAUCUACAUUUUAUCAGGAUCGACAUGACCAAAAAGGUGUAACCUUUUAGGCACUAUAAAUUGAUCCUUAAUAGUUUAAUUGGUCAAAAAAUAUAGGUUGCACAUAUUUGAUCAGAUAGUGGGGCUACCAACUUUGUAAAAUCUUCAAACACAUACCCCCAAAAAAAUCUAAACACAUGUUUGGUUGCCUGACCUUCAUCUGUGACAUAGUGGCAUGUGAAUUAUAGGUACGUUAUGAAAUAAUCCAACUAUCAAUUGAUCAAGGGGGAAUAUCAAUCACCUCGGAUUAGAAGACGUAUAAGGAGAAAUCUAGUUGAGGGCCUGCGGCUCUGGCCAUUCCAGCAACUGGACACUUGGUAACCUUCAAAACAUGAAAGGAAAACAUAGUACACGCUUGGUAACUUUUAGCACAAAUUAGAAUGGGAACAUGCAGUGUACUGAUUCAGCUGCCAAAUCUAAACUCAGCGCACUGAUGAACUGUUUUUAGGAACAAGAAGAUUCAACUGGGACGAGAUUUAUGGGGAACAAGCGGAUCCCAUGGGUGAACCAACGGAUCCAACCAUGGAGACCCCAGAUCGACCCAGGAAAGAACGGCAACAAGCACAUACCGACGGUCGAGUUCUGCAUCGGCAAGAUAAGGAGAGGAGGAGCAAGGGAGAGAGGCCGCAUAGUCACCGUACUGGGAUUUGGCCUGUCCGACAUGGUACCUAAGGUUUCGCUUGGACGCUGCGCCGCGGCCUUGCGCCUGCCGCUGCAGCCUCACGCCCGCUAUCAUCGCGGGGGGCAGGGGAGAGAGGAGGAGGUGGUGGUGGAGGAGGAGGAGGGCGGCUGUGGUGCGCCACUCGCUCCCGUCAUCGUCGUCGACUCGUCGUCGUCCUUCGGGAGGAGGGAGGGAGCGAAGAGAGAGGAGGAGGAGAGUUGGGGAAAGGAGGCCGGCGAGAGAGAGAGAGAGAGAGACUGGGAGAGUGUGGAGGAAGCUAGGGUUUGGAGAUUGAUAUUUAUUGAUGUUAGCAUUGUUCUCCACCGUCUGAUCAGAUCGGUUGGCUGUGAACUAUUGGGCCCAUUCGUGGGCCUUUGGAUUUUCACUCUCAAAUGCAUAUUUGGGCCUUUGCAUUUAUCGACUGUAUCAUUUUCUGACCCAACAACUAAUAUAUAUGAUGCUUUUUAAUUUUAAUUCAAGAACAAAUUUGGUUUUAGGCUAAUUUUAUGGUUUUAACAUAAAAAGUGAUAAAUACCAAAGUUGUUCAACUCAUCAUGAUCUACAACUUUGAUGUUGACCAUUUCUUCAUUUGAGAAAAUUUGAACCUUUGAAAUUUAAAUUUUUUCAAAAACAACGAGUUCGAACAAAAAUUUGAGACCCAAAAUGAUUUUAAUAUAAAAAGUCAUGAAUACCAAAGUUUUUCAACUCAUCAAUAUCUACAACUUUUAUUUAGGCCAUAUUGUCAUUUGACAAAAUUUAAACCUUUGAAAUUUGAAAUUUCUCAAAAACAAUGAGUUCGAACCCAAAUUUGAGAUGCAAUAUGACUUCAACAUGAAAAGUGAUGAAUACCAAAGUUGCUCAACUCAUCAAGAUCUACAACUUUUAUUUUGACCAUUUCUUCAUUUGACAAAAUCUUAGUAUACAUUGUUCACUAAUCUUACACAUGUCUCAUAGUUUAUUAAACCACAUAAGUGAUGUGUCACAUUUGUGAACAAUGUUAUUACCACUUUAUCAUAUGAAGAAAUGACCAAUACAAAAGUUGUUGAUCUUGAUGAGUUAUUCAACUUUGGUAUUCAUCACUUUUCCUCAUUCGAUAAUUUGGGGUAUCAAAAUCUUGUUCGAAGUUGUCUCUUUUUUUUAAAUUCAAAUUUUGAAUUGCUCAAUAUUGGAAUAUGUAAAGAUUGACAAAAAAAUCUCAAUAAAUUGAUAGAGAAUGAUUUUAGAAAAUUUUACAAAAAAAAAUCAUCUCAUUUGGAGUUAGUAUGAGGGAGAAAAACUCCAAAUGUGAUGAUAUUUUUCUAUAAAAUUUUCUAAAAUCAGGAUCUACAACUUUAAUAUUGAUCAUUUCUUCAUUUGACAAAAUUUGAACAUUUAAAAUUUGAAAUUUUUCAAAAACGACGAUUUCAAACCAAAAUUUGAAACCCAAAAUUAUUUCAACUAAAAAAGUGAUGAAUACCAAAGUUGUUCAACUCAUCAAGAUCUACAACUUUGAUGUUGACCAUUUCUUAAUUUGACAAAAUAUGAACCUUUGAAAUUUGAAAUCUUUGAAAAACGAUGAGGUCAAACCAAAAUUUGAGGCUCAAAAUGAUUUCAACAUAGAACGUGAUGAAUACCAAAGUUGUUCAACUCAUCAAAAUGUACAACUUUUAUUUAGGCCAUAUUGUCAUUUGACACAAUUUGAGGCUUUGCAAUAUGAAUUUUUUGAAAAAUGAUGAGUUUAAACCAAAAUUAGAGACUUAAAAUGACUUCAACAUAAAAAGUGAUGAAAACCAAAGUUGCUCAAAUCAUCAAGAUCUACAAAUUUGUUGUUGACCAUUUAUUAAUUUGACAAAAUUUGAAUGUUUGAAGUUUGAAAUUUUUCAAAAAUGACAAGUUUGAACCAAAAUUUGAGACCCAAAAUGAUUUCAACAUAAAAAGUGAUGAAUACCAAAGUUGUUCAAGUCAUCAAGAUCUACAAAUUUGAUUUUGACCAUUUCUUCAUUUGACAAAAUUCAAAUAUAGGAAAAACAACUAGAUGAACCAUGGCACCCACUUGAUUAGGUGGCAGCUUUUCUCAAAAAAAAGAUUAGGUCGUAGUUUGCCAAGUGGACCCAUAUUGCCACCUCGGAUUGUAAUGCACAAAAAAAUUCAAUAAAAUAUUUUAUGACUUAUCAUAUUUGUCACAAUAUACCAUUUUCUAUAUGACAAUAGCAAAUUGAUUGUUGUGACAUGAGAAAUAAAGUCACAAAAUGUUAUUCUACUAGCACUAAGACAUUUUUUAUGACAAAAACUAACCAAAGUCACUAAGUCUAGCUGUCUCCACAAAAAAAGUCAUAAAUUGGUCAAAGUUGUGACUAUUUUGUCCAAUGUCAUGGGAAAAAAGUCAUAAGAUGACUGAUUUCUUGUAGUGUCUUUUGUAAUUUUCUUAAACUCUUUUGUAAUUUUCUUAAACACUUUUGUAAUUUUCUUAAUGUGUACCAUACUAGCAUGAAGAAUGAUGUAAUCUUGUUUUCAGAUGAAUAUAUAUAAGUCAUGAUUCCUUUAUAUAUGUUUUUAGAUGAAUGUACAAAAUAUCAUCUUCAUAUAAUUGCGAAAUGUCCGUAUAACUAUAUCUUCGUCAUAGCUUCCAAUGUCGGUCGAGCGUGCUGAAGAAUGGCACGAGCCAAGCCCGGCAUCGAGUUAUAAGGAAGGCUCGUCGUCAUCAAACGAUAGCACCUCGUACGAGGAGGAGGUGCUAACACCAAGGCCAAAGAAGAAAGGUAGAACAGAGGAAGAACAUGAUCUGACCUAUAUGCCAGAAAAGAUGGGGCCUUCAUCACGUAAUUCACACACCACGGCAUAGAGUGAAGAGGGCCGCGUAAGUAAACAAGUAAUACAAUUGUUGAUAUUUGUUAAUGCCAUCAGGAAAUGAUCCGCAAGCGCACGGAUAUCGGUGGGCACUUCACCCGGGAGGUUAUCCAGAGUAUCGUAUUUAUAUUUUUACCAUUGGGAGAAAGCGUGCAUCUGACUAACCAAAUCUAUUGCUACUACCCUUUAGGCUACAAAGAAUGUGACUCGAUGUGAGAUAUGUAUAGAGAAGACUACAACCGUAAUCUCGUUCUAACCUUGGUAAGGAUGAUCUACUGUUCUAUUGGGGAGGCUCACAGAAUCUAGACACCACAGAGGAUGUUCAACCCGCACCUACAAACCCUAUCAAUCCUACUAACGGGAUAUGUGCUACAAAGGUAACUCGGAAAUGUCACGUUCCUCGCUACUACCACGGUCCAACUAGUCAGGGUAUAUCUAUGAGUAUCCUAGCCCAAACACCACGUUUACGCUAGAGAUGAUUACUCUAAACUCUACGCGAAGGGAUCAAAGUAAACUCAUAAACCAAAGAACAAUAAAACAAGAACUUACUAGAAUUUAGAAGUCAAAAUACUGAAGAAUCCUAGGAGCAAGCUCGGGUUAGAAGACUUGAUCCCGCAGGUACAACCUCGGAGUAGGCACCGACAGGCCGGGCUUCCUCCGAUCUACACCUCCACUCUAUCUUUCUCAAUCUAGUAGAACUAGUCUACUCUCACAUUGGAUGCUAAGCCCUAAGUCUAUGUAGAGGAAAGGUUAUCCUUCGAGGGCACCUCUCAACUCUAUAAUGAACUUGUUCCCCUCCAGGGGCCAGGGGGUCUGCUUAUAUAGUCCCCUCAGGUGAACGUGAGCCGUCGGAUCAAACUGACAUUGAUUGAAAGGUUAUCCUUGAUCCUUUAGGUCGGUGGUGAGUAAUCCGCGAGACGGGACCUGAUUGGUCUCUGCAACAGGGCGGGCGCCCAAGGGGGGAGGGCGAGCGCCCUGCCUCCGGGCCCGAUCGCCUUCCCGUGGCUUCUGGAGUCUUCUAGAUGAUAGAAAAUUGCGCGGCACGUUAAUAUCUCUAUGUAAACCCGACGUGUGGGCCUUUCUUCCAUAUUUCCUGAUAACCCCCUACAGAAAUAGACAAACACCAAAACUCGUGGAAUUCAGUCAGAUAAAACCCUAAGUCUGGGUGUUGGUUGCAUUUGGAUCCUUUUCUUUAUUUAUUUAUUUGAUGAUUAUAUUUGGUACUUAAGGACCGUCAACAACUCCCCCAAGCUUACCUCUUGGUCGUCCCUGAGCAAGGAUGGACUCAAGAGUUUCCACAGUGGUUUCAUGCCUUAAAAGUAAGAUCUCACCUCUGAGUUAGAGUAAACUGUUAAGACUUAAAACUUACUCAUUUUACCUUUCUCCAUGGGGCUUGCAACCGUCACUUGUGUCUUGAGCGGUUAAAAGAUAGAACGGUCAAGUCAAGUGCCAUGUCUCUUGUUCUUUGAUCAGCUGUAGCUCUGGAGUUUUUGCAGAUUUUCAAAUAAAACUCAUAGAUUCCUUGUAUGACUCUCUCAAAUCUCUUUUUUGUGGCAUUUCUGGAUCCUUUCGAAGGCAGUGAUGAUAUAUAACUUCUCUCAAAGUAUUUAGUAUUUUUGGUAUGAGGCAUAGUGAUAUUGCCUUCUCUCUCACCCUACUCUAAUAACGUUUUGACAUCUGGAGCUCAUAGGUGGGAGAUAGAUAAUACAUACUUACAAGACACUUAUUGCAUAGUCAAACCAUGGAUCCAGAGAAACAAGUCAAUAAGUCAAAUCAAGAUGUGCAUGUGUGGCGAGUGAAUGGUGUAUGGUGAUGAUGGUGAUAACAAUGGUGAAUUUUAAUUCUACUUUUGCUCUUUUGAGGGGAUACAUACCUUUCUUGCACUUUGAAGCAUUUUGAGGAGAAUGAGAUGCUCUAUAUUUUCUUUUUCUUUUCUCUCAGGUGGGUGUCUUGUACCCCUAAUUCUACUAUCGGACACUUAUCCAUUUUUACCUCUCGUCUCACUUUUUCUUUUCUUCGAGGUUCCGCGCACUUGCCCCUUUUUAUUUCCUCGUAUUCUUUCUCUUUUUUUUUCUUUCUUUUUUUCUCUAUUUUAGAGCAGUCAUCUCCUGAAAUAUUAUAGCAAGUGGUAGUAACCAAGAUAACUCGAGCAUUUAUUUCACAGGGAAAAACAGAAAUAGGAGAAUGUUUUUAGCUAUUCUCUCCUGGAUUAGGAGUAGAAUAAUUUUAGGUGAAUCUGGAGAUGGAAUUGAGUGGAUGUAUGUGGAUGUGUACUUCCAGAGUAGAAGUAGCAUGUAUGAGUGAACGUGCAAGUGAAUCUUGAUUUUAACCGCAUGACAAGCUCUUAAGGGUCUACACAGCUUGACCACACUCAAUGCUCAUAAGCAGUAAAAAGUAAAUGUGUGGCUGAAAGUCUACCAAGCAUGUAUAUAUAGCUGUGGUAGGAAUUUAAACUCUCAUCAUACAGGAACUCAUCAUGUGUUAUUUUAAAGAUUUUCAAAGAUAAAAUUCUCUAGAAUUCUAGCAUCUCUAAGGACAAAUAAACAGCAGCUCAACCUUCUCAUAUCACAUCCGUUAACGACUUAGUGUAAUACCCGAUUUUAAGGACAAAAUCAGAUACACACCAUAUGUGAGUUUUAGAAGUCAAAUCUCACAUAUAGCUACAAAUAAGAGGUAAUAUCAAAAGACAAUGCAUAAAUAUAUAACAUACUUAGUAUAAAAGAGAUAACCUUGAUAGCAAACAGCGGAUAGACAAUUCCGAACUUUGGGUAUUAGCUUCUCUCUACAAGAUCCAACUGACUGGUUGAUCACAAGCCUAAACAUCUCCUGAGGUUUGGGGGAAAUAGCAAGAGUGAGUCCAUGUCGAACUCCACAAUUAUAGCAACUAGAUUGUAUAGCUCCCACAAUCUCAUGAUCAAUGUGACAUAAAUAAUGUAGAGCAUUAAACAAUAAAUAAUUAGUAUUUUAACACAACAAGAAUCAUCAUCAUCGAUGCAAGAAUCCCCAAGGCCGCUCUUAACCAUGAGCACGGCUAGUAUACCAGUUUUUAACACUCUACAGAGGUUGUACAUCUUUACCCAUGAGUCAUGAUUUACCCUUUCGCCCGAGGUGAUCAGCCCCUUAACCCACUUCCAAGGAAGGUCGGCAGGGAUCACUAUGAAGCCUUUCAAAAGUUCGUCUAACCUGUUAGGGCCGCAAGGUUUCCUUUGCGCGCAGAUAUAGAGCCCCCCUUCCGAUGGCACAACGACUCGCAGCCUAUACACAUACAGACAGAGGCCACACUAUACCCAAAACGGUUCAGCCCCUCCGCCCUUUCGGGUAACCUCUAACAAGCUAGAAAAGGUCUUCAUACGGAGCUAAAGCCAGAGCCAUUAUAGCCCUCAUGGUUGCACUGUUGUCCCAGUUAUCACUUACAGAUAAAUCAUCAAGUGGCUAAAAAGUCAUUUUUACCAUUUAUUACUUAACAUUAAUCUAGUCAUAGGAUCAUGUUCACAGAAAUAAAACCCAAAUGCUAUACUUGCCUUAAUCCAAAUGCUCUUGUUGAUCUUGCUUGUUGUCCAAGGCUCUGAUCUUGAUCACUAAAGUACUGUUCUCCGUCUAAACUCGAUCAUCGAUCACACAAACAAUCGAAGAAAACAUACACGAAGCAAACAAGGCUACAAUUAGAACAGUACACCAAACAUAUAAAAACAGUAUGAAAAGUUUAUAAAAUGAUUCUACGCAUCGCUACGAUCUCACAGACAUAAAGAUCACGAAAAUCAGAGUUAAAACGUAGAAGUUAUGAAUUUUCUAAGAUUUUGGAUAGAAAAGUAAUUAAUUAAUUGAGGUCAUGAAAUUUAAAAGUUUCAAACUGAGAAAACCAUUUUUCUAACAUGUAGAGCUCAUGAAAACAAACCUAACGCAUUCUGAAUGGGUCAAAUCAGAGUUAGAAUGAAUAUUUUAUGGCCAAAAUAAAUCCAGUGGCAAACUUGUAAUUACAGAAAGCGUAUUUUCAGAGUAAAUCCGGUGCUUUUCCGUUUUCUCAAAGAGAAAGCACAUUUUUGAAAUCCGCUUUGGACUGCUGGUUUAUUUGGUAAAAGCUCAGGGGCUCUUUAACAAAAGUGCGAAUGAAGGGGUACGUUCUAAUCUGGAUCGUUGAUCUUGAAUCGGACGACUGAGACUCAAUCUAGGGAAGAACAGGGUGGCUGCCGGCAACGCACAGGAGCCUCACGGUGGCUCCAUGGACGAAAGUUCGCCGGCGCUCGUGGAGAAGGCACUAGGAACCAUGGUGUUGAUGCAAAAGCUGAAUUUGCUAACACAAAGGGCUAAUACCCGAUUCAAACGUUAAGGCGUGCCAGCCGAUUUGACCUUACUAUCGGCAAAUGUGAUAACUCGAAUACUUUGGUCCUGACAACAGCGAUGCGCCGGAUGCCACGGCCAAGAGGUAUUCACGCGGAACUCGAGAAUACGCCGAGCUUAAGUCGACGAAUUCCUAAGAACUCGUAAUGAAAAGAAAAAUAUGACGAAGUCGUCGAAAAGGUAGAUACCGGAAUAUGAGUAAAACUUGUGUUUGAUUGAUUAUUAGAUGUCUCGAUUACAAGGCCCUAGGGUCUAUAUUUAUACCCUGCUCAAAGAGCUACAACCAGACACGACUAGAACUCAAAUUCCAAAUUAAACACAAUCCGUACACAAAACGAUUAAAAUAACUAAGGAAAACAUAAAACUAUCCUCCCGUGACAAACUAGGACACCACUACAGACCAAUCGGCAACCUUGAAGCCUUCCUUCCGCAUCAUCGGCAGAUUCUCCAUCGUAGCCAUCAACAAAGGUUAAUGCUGGCUAUCGGCAUAAACACAUCACCAUCCAUGGACUUAGCCAUAUUCAGCUGUCUCCUCAUCGGCAACCGCCCUUAUCGGCAACUCUUCUGUAGACCAGUGACCAUUACCCUGUCUUGCCGAUCCACACUCUACCGAUCCUGGAUACGUGUCCAAAAACGGUGUCAACACAUGCCCCCCAAUUUCAGAGUAUGAAAUCAUUAAUGCUCUGAAAUUCUCUGCAGUAAUGAUGCCUUUUCGUAAUUAAUUCUCCCAAUUUGGUAACCGACAGCUUCAAUCUGAACAACCCUGGUCCAAUCCCUCCACAGACUCCUCGAAAUUCUCAACCUCCCAAACGGACAUCUCCACUUUAGUCGCCCAUCGGCAAUAUUACCGUUACACAGACCUGCCGAUAGACUGACCAGGACACCCUGUACAGCGAAGUAUCUUAUCCCCCCAAACAGAUAUCUCCACUUUAUUCGUCCAUCGGCAAUAUUACCGUUACAAGACGCUGCCGAUAGACCGACCAGGAAAUCUCGAAUAGUAAAAUAUCUCCAGAUCACGACCGUUUCCUGUCAAAUCACCUGCGCAAUUCCUUGAUUACCGUGCAAACAGUUACCAUAUCCUCCUGAGUAUACUCGGAUUUCACGGAUACGGCGAACUGAUAAGUCAGAUUUACCCUUGCCCAUUUUGUCCUAUAAAUAGUUCCUUCUCGGGUACUCCUUCUCCAUCCCAUCAUUCUACAGCCAAAACUCCACUUUCCUGGCGGCGGCGCUUGUUCAAGAGCUCCAAGAGCUCAACGAAGCCCUUUCUUCACCAACAUCAAAGUCUUCGAUCCCCCUAUUUGCGAGGAGAUGGCCAUCAACUUCGCUGUUCCCGAGGUCAGUUCACCACCCUUCUUCUUGUACUUUUGCCAUAUCUCUGUUCAUCCGCAAUUUAUUUUACUGAACAUUCUUUUUUUUCUUUUGUUCUUCUCUUUACCUUCAAAACUAUUAGGAUUUGUCCAAUCAAAUUAUCAUCCCUACCGAUCAGCCACACCUCCAGUGUCUUGGUCUGUUAGGGGAUCCAGAUCCCACCGAUCUUAUUAAUGCAGAAACAAACAGAAUCCCUUUUAAAGCCGAGAAUUUUUCUCUGGAUCUGUGGAAGGAUACCUUCCGUUCCUGGCCCAGCCCUACCGUGGGAUGGAAGGAUUGGUUCUUCAGAGUCAGCCACUCAAAUGAAGUUCAGUGGGGUGAGAGAAGAUUAGACCAAUGCAUCAGGUUGUCCAUUGCCGAUAUGCAUAGGAAUGAGUCACUGCUGAUAGCUGCAUCAUAUUUCUGGUCAGACACACUCAAUGCCUUUGUCUUUGGCCACGGCCCUGCUUCCCCCACUCUUGCCAAUGUGCUUAUGCUCACCAGCAUAGAUGUAUCCACUGCCGAUAGUAGUCACCUGUUUGACACCAUGCCUAGUGCCAAAGUGGAAACCCGCGCUAUUGGUGGCUGGUCUGGAUACAUUCAGAAGUAUCGUAGAACGGGGCCUGUUAACAUAAAGGAGCAGACCACCUUCCUGAACAUGUGGCUGGACAAAUUUGUGUUAUGCGGUCGAUCGGCAGGACCAACCUCUGUCUACCUGUCGACAGCAGAGAGAUUAGCCAAUGGUGGCCGAUUUCCCCUCGGCCGAUACCUGCUUGGCUCUGCCUACCACCUCCUCCACCAAGUAGCCAGAAAACUCCUACUCGGCCAGCCCAUCGGCAAUCUAGGAGGACCCUGGUGGUUCAUCAAUAUGUGGCUUAGCCUCCACAUGCACAAGCGUCUUGAAUUCAACCUCUUCACACAACUCUUCCCCAGGGACAUAGCCGAGGAUUAUAAAUUAGAUGAAGAAGAAUCGGCAACUCGCCCUCCUCUGAACUUUGGCGAGGCUGUCAUUGUUCUGCCUGGCACAGGCGGCAAUGCAGACCAGGUCAGCCGAUUCUUCCAGACCUUGCAUGAAGGCCUAACUAGAGAACAGCGAGCAUGGAUGCCUUAUGAAGAUCCAGACACCAUGUUUCCUUUGGUCUUCCAUCCAUUCAAUGACACUCUCAACAAGGAUCAUGACAUGAUGAUGGCACUGAUCACUCCUAGAGCUAUACCAGUAAACUUCUUUGGCAGUGGGAAAACCUCCAACCAGACCUAUGAGUUUUACAACCCAUCGGCAUUAGCCCGUCAGUUAGCUUUCGGUCAGCUGCCGAUCGCCCUCUGUUAUGCCGAUGUGAUAAAACCCAGGGAAACCAUCACGAGCCUUCUUGAGUGGACCCGAGUAGCUCAACUGCCGCCGAAUGCCGAUACAGAUGCAGAUCUAUCAGAGUGGAUCCCGGCCCUCUUCAUUGCUCAGGCGUACAAACAAUGGUGGGAAGAAUGAAAAGAGCAUUUGUUCUGCAAAUCAGCUCUUACAUACUGCGGCAUGAUCGACCCUCAGUACAAAGUCCCCGAUGAUACUGUAAGUACUUCUAAGCCGAUACUCCAAUCUUCUUAUUUUUUUCAUUCUCAUCGGUAACUCACUUUCUGCGUUAUAUGACAGGUUAACAACACACCACCAUCGGCCAGUAGGAGUGGCAAGCCGAUUGAUCUCUUUCAAUCAGGUCCGAUUUCUUCAAUCGGCAACAACGCUCCCAAUUUGGCUGCCAUCAUGCAUCGAGGCGUGCGCUUGAAGAAAGUCACCACCAAGCACACAAAGACGUCUCCAUCGGUAGCUGCCUCCACCUUAGCACAGGCCUUCAAGGUAACUGUUCAAACUUUUUCAUUCAUACCGAUUCCAUUCUUACAUUUAUUACACCUGUACUCACGAAUCCUCAGUCUUGAUACAGCACACCGGCGCAUCGGCAAGGACCAGAAGUAUAAGUGCCGAUGCCCCCAGUCUAGCCAGCUGAAGAGAAAAGGUACCAAGCGUACCGGAGCACAAGCAAAGCGCCAAAGAGUAGCAAUGCCUCCUCCUCCCCCGGUAUCUCUAAUCCCGGUAGAAUCUUCUCCUUCCUCCCCAGAAGCUCAGAUGCAACAAGCACCAUCUCCCCCUCAGCUACAAGAAGCACCCCAAGUGGAAGAACUCCAACCAGAAGAACCCCAGUCGGAACUACCCCAGCCAGAAGACACAUCGGCUGAUGUGGGCGAACAGACUACCGAUCCAGCAGGCUCAAUCAUAGCAUCGGUAGUUUCCUUGAUCCAGACAAGCACUGCACCUCCUCAAGGUAACAUAUCUUUACAAAAUCAUUGCUAAUGAAUCCACUUUCCCGAUCUCAUAAUCACUUCUACUAAUUUUUAGCUGACAUAGUUCCAUCGGCAACCCUGGCCGAUCAACCCGUGGUUCCAUCGGCAUCUUCCAGUCAGAGGCGAGAGAUUGCCUUGAAACAAGUAAGCCACCCAACCUCCAUCGGUAUUAUUGGUCAAUACUUUAACCAUAGAAUGACUCACUUUAUUUCUUUUUCAGGAACAGGACUCUCCCGACAGCUUGUUUUCCUUGCCAUCGACAUCUCUAAAGAUGAAGGUGAGGAGGCCAGCUCUUCUCGAGCCGUUGGAAUUACAUCGGCAGAAAUUAGGGCAAAGUUGGAAGAGUUAUCAGCCCUCCUACAUCAAGACACAGCCCAAUUGGUCGAUGACUCCGACCCGGCCAAGGCUUUAUUCAAGACCCUUAGGGACCAAAUCCCCGCCGAUGCUGAAGAAAUUCUUUCUCAAACUGCACAUCUAGAAAGCCGUCAGCUGCAGUACCAGAGAGCUGCCCAACGUCUUGCCGAUAAAGCUGCUCAUGCCUAGCUCUGUGAAGAGAUGAUGAAGGUGAAGCUCCUUGCCGAUGAGAAGCACAAGAACAUCGGCAUCUUAAAGUCCUCAGGGGAGGCAUUGAAGCAAAAGAUUUCUGACUUGUCGGCAAGAAGAGAAGCCCUGCUGGCAGAACUCAAGCAAGUGGAAGAAGCCUUGUCCCAGGCUCAACAAGAGUAGAACCAGCUGCCUGAGGCGAUCAAGCGUCUUGAGCAAGAGCGCAAUGUCCAAGCCCGCACGGCGCUACAAAUGAAGAAGAAACUGAAGCCAGUGGAAGGCUCUACCGAUGAAGAUAUCAAAGAGAUAGAAGCAGCCAAUCAAAUUCGCCUGCGCGCUCUAUUGGUGAUCCAGGCGCUGGUGAACAUGUGAAUUCUUCAUCGGUGGCACACUUGCUCUUCCCCUUUUAUCACUCUUAGCAUUUUGGUCUAGCUGAUGGGAAUGUUAUCGGCACUUAAACCUUCAUGCAUCGACCCAUAUGCUUGGGUAAUACUUCUUUAGAUAUUUGCCAUUUAAUGCUCUGGGAAAUUCAACGCCUUCAAGAGUUUCUAGAAUAUAGGCGUUACCACGAGCCGAUCGACUUACCCGAUAGGGACCCUCCCAAUUGGGAGACCACUUCCCAAAUUUUGAACUCUUAGUCCCAAUCGGUAAGAUUAGUUUCCAUACUAAAUCUCCAUCGGCAAACUCCUUAGCCUUUACCUUUGUUGACUGUCCUUAAGUAUCAAAUUUAAUUAUCAAAUAAAUAAAGAAAAGGAUCCAAAUGAAAUCAACAUCUAGACUUAUGGUUUUAUCUGACAGAAUUCCACGAGUUUUGGUGUUUGUCUAUUUCUGCAGGGGGUUAUCAGGAAAUAAGGAAGAAAGGCCCACAUGUCAGGAUUACAUAGAGAUAUCAACGCACCGCGCAAUUUUUUACCAUCUAGAAGACUCCAGAAGCCACGAGACCGAAGCAGAGCCGAAACGGGGCCAGGACCUGGGCGCCCACCCAGUUUCCUUGGGCGCCCGCCCAACUGCCGAGCCCAAUCAGGACUCUUUCUCUCGGGAGAUCUCCACCGACCUAUUGGAUCCAGAAUAACGUAGUACCACAUCGCCUACCGACCCAAAAACGCAUAGAAGGGGAGGACUAUAUAAGGAGACCCCCUGGCCCCUGGAGAAGACAAGAAAUUAUCAUAGAGAUUGAGGGGUGCCCUCGAAGGAAAACCUCUUCUCUAAAUAAUAUUUCUUUUUAGGCUUAGCAACCAAUGUAAGUAGAAAUAGAUCUUCUAGUUUCUACUAGAUUGGGAGAGAUAGGGUGGAGGUGUAGAUCGGAGGAAGGCCGGCCUGUCGGUGUCUACUCCGAGUUGUACCUACGGGAUCAAGUCUCCUAACCCGAGGCUUGCUUCUAAGAUUCUUCAGUAAUUCGACUUCUAAUUCUAGUAAGUUCUUGUUUUAUUGUUCUUUGGUUUAUGAGUUUACUUUAAUCCUCUUCCGGUUGAGUAUUAGAGUAAUCACUUGUUAGCGUAAACGUGGUGUUUAGGCUAGGGUACUCAUAGAUAUCCCCUCACUAGCUGGACCGUGGUAGUAGCGAGGAUCGUGACAUUUCCGAGUUACCUUUGUAUCUCAUAUCUUGUUAGCAGGACGGGUAGGGUUUAUAGGUGCGGGUCGAACAUCCUUUGUGUUGUCUAGAUUCCGUGAGCCUCCCCAAUAGAACAGUAGAUCAUCCUUACCAAGGUUAGAAUGAGACUACGGUUGCAGUCUUCUCUAUACAUCACUCACAUCGAGAAACAUUCUUUGUAGCCUAAAGGGAUAGUAGCAAUAGAUUUGGUUUGUCAGAUGCACCCUUUCUCCCAGUGGUAAAAAUAUAAAUACGAUAACUCUGGAUAACCUCCUGGGUGAAAUGCUCACCGAUAUCCGUGCGCUUGCGGAUCAUUUCCUUAUUGCGUUACCAAAUAUCAACAAGCAUUUCUGGCGCCGUUGCCAGGGAGAAAGACGGUUUGCUGAGAUAACUUUGAGUCUUGUAUUAUCUUGUAUUAUACUUUUAUACUUUUAUUCUUUUAUCUUUUUAUCUUUACGGAUAACUCAAAUUCCAUACCUAUUAUUAAAUUCUUUGCACCUUCGGAGACCAGCCAUAGACCAUGGGAGUCAACACGUCCUGCCCCUAAUUAUGAUAUGUGUCUGGAGUUGAUUGCAAUAGGUCAAAACCAACCCUUUUCUAUAGCCGAGGUCCUAUCUUUUAAUCAAAAAGAUAAUGCACUUUUAGCUACACCUAGGGAAUCUGUUAAUCUUUCUAUAAAUUCUGGUUCAGACCUAGCCCUACAAGACCAUGUUUUUCCUAGAUAUUUUCACAUUGGUCUUAAUCAUAUAACCUUUGGUAGAGUCUUUCUUUCUUUAUCUAUUAGUAAAGGAAGGUAUGUCUUCAUUUGUGGACAUCCUUCUUAUACUAGUCUUCAUAGAAAAAUCUUAGAGAUAGAGAAGGAAUCAUCUCCCAGACGAGGAAAGGAAGUUUCAAUAGCCGAUUUCCAAACAUUUUAAUCCCAUAAUUCGGCUAUCCAACCCAUCCUUGAGCUUAAUAAUUUCUACUAUGCUCUUUCUCUUGAACCUUCCGAUAAUCAUAUGAAUCUCUCUAGACAUCCCAUGCAUAAGAAGGAGGAUCGAGAAGAGCAACAUCAAUGGCUAGAGGGCAUUAAAAAUCCAUGUGCUAUCACCAUUGAAUGGAUAGAUAAAACAAACUUGAGAGACAAUUAUACCUGGGCAUGCAGCCCGAGCCCGUGAGCACGGCCCGAAGCCCGUCAUUUUGGCCCGGCCCUAGCCCGGCCCGGCCCGAAGGUCAUUGGGCCUGGGCUGGCACGGCACGGGGCUGCAGGCCGUGCUUGGGCCACACUUCAGGCCCACGGGCCGACACGGCCCGGCCCGCCAAAUAACAACAUUGUAUAAAAUAAUUCAUUUUGAUAUCUAAAUCUAUUCUCUAUAUCUAUCAUAUGUAUUUGAAUGUGUUCUUUAUACUGAUGAAGUGAUAAAUUGAUGAAUGUGUUUGAAAUAUGCUAUUAAAUCUGUGUUUAUUGAUAUGUUAUUGUUCAACGGGCUAUGGGCUGGCCCGGCCUGACGGGCCCGCCCGGUACGCAAAAAGGCCCACGGGCCCGUGCCUGGGCUGAAGGUCAGGCCCGCAGGCCGGUAAGGCACGGCCCGCAGGGCACGACGUGCCCCCUCGGCCCGUUAGGCAACGUGCCGGGCUGGCCCGGUGUCGUGCCGGGCCGGGCCGGGCCAGCCCGUUGCCCAGGUAUAGAGACAAUCCUAGAGGAAUUUUAAGCAUUCAUGAAGAAUCAUCCUUGAAGUUUGAGAAUGAGAGAAACAACAGUGAGCAUGGAAGUUAUUUCAUAAAUACCUUAGCAAGUCCUUGCUCAUAUAAAACAUCUCCCAAUCAGUUGGUCUCUCCAUCCUUACCACAUUUGAGAUCUCCAACCCCCUCUUCCUUUCUAUUUAUAAAAACUUUAAAAGGGCGGUUGUCGAUGCAUAUGUCUAUAAUAAAUAUGGCAGAUCUCGUUGAGUUGAUUAAUGGUUUCCUAAGGACAAGCUAAGUGUCCUAAAACAAGCACUUAUUAGAUCGUAACAUGAAAUUUUAAUUAUUUACAACAUUACCUUGUGUAUUAAGCAUAUAAGGAUAAUUGUAGAAAUAUUCCUUCAAGUAUUCUUGCCACUCAUCAUGCAACAUUGAAUUAAAUUCAUCCAAUCUUGAAUUUUGCAAAAUUCAAGCUUGGGGGAGUACUUUACAUAAAAACAUCCAUUGCCAUGUUGCUAUGUUGGUUGUCCCUACCUUUGAGAGAUGCUCAAUUUGUUAAGUACUAAUCACACUACUUCAUCUCCACUUGAGUAGAUCUCUAUAAAUGCCAUCAUGCUACCUAUGUUUAUCUUAAGUAAGUGUUGGUUUGGAAGUACUGCACAUACUUCUAUUGGCUUUUAAAUUAAACAUGGUGCUUAGGUUAAACAGCCUUCCUUAAUCUGAUUAGACAUGGAGUCUAUUUCGAUUAUUGAACUAAAAACUGCUUGUGUAGACAUUAGUAUAUUUUGUUGGACUAACCCCUGCAGGAAAACUUUCAAUAUCAACCUGGGAAGUCCUGAGAUACAAACUCACUGGAGACAAAGGAGACACAUGAAGUUUAACAAUUUGCACAAGAAGGACAUAGCUCAUUCAUCAUAAAGAGAUGAUCUAUGGAGGGUGCCACAAACAUGAUGCACAACCGCUAAGAAAGGAAAUCUUCCACAAGGUGAUACUAUACCAUCACUCUUCAAGUAAGGUGACAUCUUAAGGUACUUGAUUAUCGCUUUUAUAAGUUUUUCCUUUGUUCUGGCAUUCACUUAAAAUAAAGAGACAAACAUGUAUGAUUUAUAACUCCAGAUUAACCAACUCAAUUAAUUCAACAUGUUUAGUCCUUUAAUCUUUGUUCUUAGUACUACCUUCGUGAUCCCACACUCCUAAUCAUAUAAGCUAAAAUGUUGCACAUUUAAAUCUUUGGAAGAUAUAAACAAAACAUAAAUAUAGAUAGAUUAUCUUUCCAUUAGGUUGAGCCAUCUGAUCUAACAAAUGUUUUAAAUGCUACACUCAUGAUCCAUCAACUUUGUCUUGCUCACUAUGCUUAAGGUUAGAGAAGAACAAAUACACUUUUAGUUCUGUUGGUGUUUUCCACCAUGGGCCUAUGCACUUGAUCUCUGCCUUGUCUCUAUGAGCAGAUACAAUUCAAGCAAAACAUGGAGGAGUUUUACAACUCCUAGAUUCCACCAAGUGAAGAACCGGGAUCUACGAGCACAAACACAAUGGAGAUCAGACACUUAGUUUCCCAAAGGAAAAAAUAAAGAACCUCUGUGUCCGAGUUGGUACCUUGUACGCUCCAGCAAACUUCGUGGUGAUAGAGACUGGUACUGAGGAGAGGGCACCCAUCAUCUUAGGGAGGCCAUUCCAAAACACUAGAGCUGUCAUCUACGCUAAUGCUGCCAAGAUCAGUCUCUACAUCAAGGGGAAGAAGGAGACUUUCCUUCAAGAACAAGACUACACAAACUUCAGAGCAAUCCCGACAUGAACCAAGGAUGAGGACCAAUAGGAGGAACAGGAACAAGCAAAUGUGGACCGAGUCAGCUAAGAUGGUCACUGCAGCUCAUGGAGGUCAAGAUCGUAGACUCAAGUUACCUUUCUUGAUCAAGAAGGACGACCCUGGUGUUCCAAGCAUCGAAUGCACAAUCAAUGAAUACUCUUUUCAGAAGACACUCUACGACACCGGAUCUGACAUCAACAUAAUGGCUGCAGUCACUUAUCAGCUCCUGCAUGGAACCAUGCCCCUACAACCAAUAUAUAUUCAGCUCCAGAUGAUUUUCAGAUCAUCGGCAUGGGAGAAGACGAGUAUGAUCCACCCACCGUCCUUGGAAGACCGUUCCUCAACACUAUCAAAGCAAUCAUCUACAUUGGAGCCGGAGAAGUCCACAUGUACUUCCCCUCUGAGAAGGUACGCAACUAUUUUACUGACCAUAACUAUAUAGUUGAAGAUUCUAAGCAGGUCAGGACAAGAAGAAGACAACGCAACCGCAACCAGAGGAGGCAAAUCAUCAAGAAUGGAUGGGUAGACUACGAAGGAGAAGUGAUAAGGACUGAAGACAUAUAGCUUGAACAAAACUGUCCUGAGGAGACCGUAGCACCGAGUCAGGUGUGGAGGGAGAAGAUAGUUAUACACGAAGAGAGGCGCCGCCGGAAUCACCGACUACGCCACCUAGCGAAUCCCAGGACGACUCAGAAAACAGAGAGUCCCAUUCGGAGGACUUAAAAAUACCGAACGCCUUGCCAAGAGGUAAACUUGGUAGUUAUCCUUUUCCUUUCAAUUAUUUAAAAUAGUUUGCUUAGUUAAUCAGGUUCAUGCUAUCUUUGAAAAGAAAAUAAAAAUGUUAAAAAACAGUAAGCCCCAUGUGAGUAUACGAGUGGCAUAAAACCCAUAAGUACAUUCACUGUGGUGGCGUAAAAAUAAAAUAAAUAUAUUAUUGUCCUAUCAAUAUAAAAAUAUAAAAAUAAAUUUACGAUCCAACUAAAGAGAGUAACAUUUAUUGAGGAGGCUCAACAUGAUAAAGGCUAGAUAUUUAUGCUAACACUUAACCAGUUCCACAAAGCUUUGUUGUCUAUUUGAGCUCCACAGAAUUCAAGGAUCAAAGAAGACUAGCAGAUGGAGGACAUCCUAAUCGCUGUUAGGGUACUACCGACUUUCAAAUACACCUCCAUCACCUGCUAGCUACAUCAGAAGAAAUUACAUCAAAAUCCAGCUUGGGGGAGAGCAUCCCCAUUUAUCCAGCUAAGUGUUUCUACUCGCGUUUAUACUUUACUCAAAUAAUAAGAGAUGCAUAAUCAUGAAAACCCAAAUAAAGAUUUUGUGCUUUUAUAUAUAUAUAUAUAUCUUUGCUUAGUUUGCUAAAUAAAUAAAUAAAUAAAGUUUGCUAUCAACCCUCAUGAUAAACUCUCACAUGGAACUGAUGAAUAGUUGCUCUGCCAUGACUAGUUCUUAAAAUUGAAAUCUCUCUCAAGUUUAGGCAUGACUGUUAUGAAUUAAAAUUUGCUCUAAACCUGAACUUGUGGGAAGAGUACUUAUCUAAAGUCUAAGUUGUCAACGGAUAUGAUAUGGGAAGGUUGAGCUGUUGUUUAUCUGUUCCUAGAGAUGCUAGAAUUCUAGAGAAUUUUAUCUUUGAAAAAUCUUUAAAAUAUCAUAUGAUGAGUUCCUAUAUGAUGAGAGUUUAAAUUCCUACCACAGCCAUAUAUACAUGCUUGCUAGACUUUGAACCACAUAUUUACUUUUUACUGCUUUUGAUCAUUGAGUGUGGUCAAGCUGUGUAGACCCUUAGGAGCUUGUCAUGUGGUUAAAAUCAAGAUUCACUUGCACGUUCACUCACACAUGCUGCUUCUACUCCGGAAGUACGCAUCCACAUACAUCCACUCAUUUCCAUCUCCAGAUUCACCCAAAAGUAUUCUACUCCUAAUCUGGGAGAGAAUAGCAAAAAUAUUUUCCUAUACCUGUGAAAUAAAUGCUCCAGUUAUUUUGGUUACUACCACUUGCUAUAUUAUUUCAGGAGAUGAGUGCUCUAAAAAAAAGAAGAGAAAGAAAAAUAAUAAUAAUAAUAAUAAUAAUAAUACGAGGAAAUAAAAAGGGGCAAGAGCCCGGAACCUCGAAGAAAAGAAAAAAAAGUGAGACGAGAGGUAAAAAUGGACAAGUGUCCGACAGUAGAAUUAGGGGUACAAGAUACCCACCUGAGAGGAAAGAAAAAGAAAAUAUAGAGCAUCUCAUUCUCCUCAAAAAGCUUCAAAGUGCAAGAAAGGUAUGUAUCCCCUCAAAAGAGCAAAAGUAGAAUUAGACUUUCACCAUUGUUUUCACCAUUGUUAUUACCAUCAUCACCAUACACCAUUCACUCGCCACACAUGCACAUCUUGAUUUGACUUAUUGACUUGUUUCUCUAGAUCCAUGGUUUGACUAUGCAAUAAAUGUCUUGUAAGUAUGUAUUAGCUGUCUCCCACCUAUGAGCUCCAGAUAUCAAAACCUUAUUAGAGUAUGGUGAGAGAGAAGGUGAUAUCACUAUGCAUUAUACCAAAAAUACCACAUACUUUGAGAGAAGGCAUAUACCAUUACUGCCUUGCUGAGGAUCCAGAAAUACCAUAAAAGAGAGAUUUGAGAGAGUCAUAUAAGGAAUCUCUGAGUUUUAUUGGAAAAUCUACAAAAACUCCAGAGCUAUAGCUGAUCAAGAAUAAGAGACAUGGCGCUUGACUUGACCGUUCUAUCUUUUAACUGCUCAAGAUACAAGUGACGGUUGCAAGCCCCAUGGUGAAAGGUAAAAUGAGUAAGUUUUAAGUCUUAACAGUUUAUUCUAACUCAGAGAUGAGAUCUUGCUUGAAUGCGUGUGUACCUUUAAGAAAUGAAACCAGUACAAAAACUCUUGAGUUCAUCCUUGCUCAGGGACGAGCAAGAGGUAAGCUUGGGGGAGUUUGUUGACGGUCCUUAAGUAUCAAAUUUAAUUAUCAAAUAAACAAAGAAAAGGAUCCAAAUGAAAUCAACAUCUAGACUUAGGGUUUUAUCUGACAGAAUUCCACGAGUUUUGGUGUUUAUCUAUUUCUGCAGGGGGUUAUCAGGAAAUAAGGAAGAAAGGCCCACAUGUCAGGAUUACAUAUAGAUAUCAACGCACAGCGCAAUUUUCUACCAUCUAGAAAACUCCAGAAGCCACGAGACCGAAGCGGAGGCGAAACGGGGCCAGGACCUGGGCGCCCGCCCAGUUUCCUUGGGCGCCCGCCCACGUGCCGAGCUCAAUGAGGACUCUUUCUCUCGGGAGAUCUCCACCGACCUAUUGGAUCCAGAAUAACGUAGUACCACAUCGCCUACCGACCCAAAAACGCAUAGAAGGGGAGGACUAUAUAAGGAGACCCCCUGGCCCCUGGAGAAGACAAGAAAUUAUCAUAGAGAUUGAGGGGUGCCCUCGAAGGAAAACCUCUUCUCUAAAUAAUAUUUCUUUUUAGGCUUAGCAACCAAUGUAAGUAGAAAUAGAUCUUCUAGUUUCUACUAGAUUGGGAGAGAUAGAGUGGAGGUGUAGAUCGGAGGAAGGCCGGCCUGUCGGUGUCUACUCCGAGUUGUACCUACGGGAUCAAGUCUCCUAACCCGAGGCUUGCUUCUAAGAUUCUUCAGUAAUUCGACUUCUAAUUCUAGUAAGUUCUUGUUUUAUUGUUCUUUGGUUUAUGAGUUUACUUUAAUCCUCUUCCGGUCGAGUGUUAGAGUAAUCACUUGUUAGCGUAAACGUGGUGUUUAGGCUAGGGUACUCAUAGAUAUCCCCUGACUAGCUGGACCGUGGUAGUAGCGAGGAACGUGACAUUUCCAAGUUACCUUUGUAUCCCAUAUCUUGUUAGCAGGACGGGUAGGGUUUAUAGGUGCGGGUCGAACAUCCUUUGUGUUGUCUAGAUUCCGUGAGCCUCCCCAAUAGAACAGUAGAUCAUCCUUACCAAGGUUAGAACGAGACUACGGUUGCAGUCUUCUCUAUACAUUACUCACAUCGAGAAACAUUCUUUGUAGCCUAAAGGGAUAGUAGCAAUAGAUUUGGUUAGUCAGAUGCACCCUUUCUCCCAGUGGUAAAAAUAUAAAUACGAUAACUCUGGAUAACCUCCCGGGUGAAAUGCUCACCGAUAUCCGUGUGCUUGCGGAUCAUUUCCUUAUUGCGUUACCAAAUAUCAACAACCUUCUUAUCAUACCAUCUAGCAACUCUCUUCUUAUUUUCUUCUAUACUCAUCAAAGCCCUUUGCCGAUGCCCUGCUAGAUCAUCCAACUCGUCUGUCAUCAAAGUAGCAUAGUCAUCGGCAGCCAACUGAUCCUGAAAAGAUAGUCGCCUAGACCCAGCCUUAAUUUCCCAAGGUAACACUGCAUCAUGCUCAUCCGGUAUGACCAUAAAGCCUCAUUUAACAAAGUGUGCCACCUCCUAGGAUUUUCUUCAAUCUUCCGUUUAAUAAGCUUGAUAAUUCCUUUGUUAGACGCCUCAGCCUACCCAUUAGCUUGAGCAUAAUAAGGAGAAGAAUUUAAUACUUUAAUUCCCAUACCGAUUGCAAAUUCAUCAAACUCCCCCGAUGUGAACAUAGUACCCUGAUCGGUAGUAAUUGUUUGAGGAAUUCCAAAUCGGUAAAUAAUAUGCUCUUUUACAAAACCAAUCAUAUUAGCCGAUGUAACUUUCUUCAAAGGAAUAGCUUCAACCCACGUGAUGAAAUAAUCGAUAGCAAUCAAGAUAAACUUAUGCCCUUUGCUGGAUGGCGGAUAAAUUUGGUCGAUUGAGUCAAUAGCCCAUCCCCGAAACGGCCAAGGCUUGAUGAUAGGACUCAUGGCUGAUGCAGGCGCUCUUUGAACAUUGCCAAAUUUCUGACAUCCCUGACACCCUUUGAAAUACUUAAAGCAAUCCUCAAGUAUAGUCGGCCAAUAAUACCCAUUUCUUCUAAUCAUCCAUUUCAUCUUAAAUGUCGACUGAUGUGCUCCACACACUCCCUCAUGGAUCUCUCCCAUCAAACUUCUAGCCUCAUCAUCACCUAGACAUUUGAGAAGAAUCUCAUUAAUAGUUCGGUAAUAUAACUCAUCUUCGAGGAGCACAUAUUUAGUAGCUUGAAACCGAACACGCCUAUCAACUUUCUUGGAUGGAUCCUUUAAAUAAUCAAUGAUUUCUUUCCUCCAGUCAUCGGCACUGAUUGCCGAUAUUGCAUUAAUCAUGGGCUGAUAUCCUGAGGCAUGCUGAGCCAACCAAUUGGCUUUCUCAUUAUGCAAUCGAGGAACAUGCUCUAAUCGGAAGUCCUUGAAUCCCUUUAGUAGUUGCACACUUCUUUCAUAAUAAGUUAUCAGGACCUCGCUUCGGCAUUCAUAACUCCCAGCCAAUUGAUUUAUAAAUAGCAUAGAAUCCCCAAAGAUUUCAAUAGCAUCAGCAUGAACUUCCCUUAGUAAUUCCAACCCCUUUAUCAAAGCUUGAUAUUCAGCCUGAUUAUUUAUUGACGUGGCAACGAUCGACAAGGAGAACUCAUAUUUCCUUCCCCGAGGGGAAAUUAACACUAUGCCGAUCCCUGCACCCUGGUCACACGUGGAUCCAUCAAAGAAGAGCGUCUAAGGUACAAUUUCCAAAGUCUCCACUGUAUCGCAAUGUUGAGUCACGAAAUCGGCCAUAAUCUGUCCCUUAACCGCUUUAGCCGAUUCAUAACGCAAAUCGAAUUCCGACAAUGCCAAAAUCCACUUACCGAUCCUGCCACUCAUGAUCGGCAUAGAUAGCAUGUAUCGGACCACAUCAUCUUUGCAAAUAACCGUGCAUUCGGCCGAUAACAAAUAAUGCCUCAACUUGAUACAAGAGAAGUACAAGCAUAAACAUAGUUUCUCAACAGCCAAAUACCUGGUCUCAGCGUCAAUCAACCUCCUGCUUAAAUAAUAAAUCACACGCCCUUUCCCUUCAAAUUCUUGAAUUAAAGCCGAACCGAUGACCAUCCCAUCCGUAGAUAAGUACAAUCUGAAAGGCUUCCCUUGCUGAGGUGGGAUCCAAACUGGAGGAUUUACCAAAUAAUUCUUGAUUUCAUCUGAGGCCAACUGUUGUUCUUUCCUCCAAACAAAUUCUUGGUCGGCCUUCAACUUAUGUAGAGGACUGAAAGCACGAAUUUUACCAGACAAAUUAGAUAUAAACCUUCUGAUAAAAUUUACCUUGCCGAUCAAGGAUUGGAGCUCAGUCUUGUUAGUAGGGGCAACUAUUUUGUUGAUAGCAUCAAUGGAUCUCUGACUAAUUUCAAUCCCCCUUUGAUGCACCAUGAAACCAAGAAAUUGUCCUGCCGAUACACCAAAUGCACACUUAUUGGGAUUCAUCUUUAAACCAUGCUUCCUCGUGCAUUCUAACACUUUUCGCAAAUCGGAAAGAUGCUUUGUGAAGUCUCCAGACUUAACCACCACAUCAUCAUUAUAAAUUUCCACCAGCUUGCCGAUGAAUUCAUGAAAUAUAAAAUUCAUAGCCCUCUGAUAAGUAGUACCAGCAUUUUUCAAGCCAAACGUCAUGACUAUCCAUUCAAACAACCCAACAUGACCAGGGCAUCUAAAUGCAGUCUUUGGAAUAUCUUCUUCAGCCAUGAAUAUUUGAUUGUAUCCUGCUUUGCCAUCUAUAAAGCUGAUAAUCCGAUGCCCAGCCGCAGCGUCAACUAGCAGAUCGGCAACUGGCAUUGGGUAGCCAUCCAUCAGUGUAGCUUUAUUAAGAUUCCUGAAAUCAAUACAAACCUGAAGUUUUCCAUUUUUCUUGUAGACUGGGACAACAUUGGAAAUCCACUCGGCAUACCGACAUUGCCGAAUAAAUUUAGCUUCGAUAAGCUUGGUUAUUUCGGCCUUAAUAUCAGGAAGAAUAUUAGGAUUACAUCGGCGAGCUGGCUGUUGAUGUGGCCGAAAUCCAGACUUAAUAGGUAACCGAUGUUCAACAAUCGAUCGGUCCAAACCAGGCAUCUCGGUAUAAUCCCAGGCAAAGCAAUCUUUAUAUUCUAUUAAAAAAUCAGUCAAUUGUUGCUUACACUCAGAACUUAGCUUAGCACUAAUAAAAGUAGGUCUAGGUUUAUCACCACUACCUAUUUCUACCUCUACCAAAUCAUCGGCCGAUGUGAAUCCCUGGCCUAGCUUUCCAUCAUCGGCGAACCUAUCCAUUAAAAACCUUCAUCAGAACCGACUGCUUGGAUCGGUGGAAUUUCAUAGUCGGCAACCUUGAGAAAAUCCUUCUCCCAAACUUCUCCUGAAAUACACCUAGUCCUUUCAUAGGUGUCUACUUCUGCCAAUGCAAUGACAUAGGAGGAAUCUCUCGGGACAAUCUCAAUUUUGUCACCUACCCACUGGACCAAGCACUGGUGCAUCGUAGACGGGAUGCAACAAUUGGCAUGAAUCCAAUCUCUUCCCAACAGCAAAUUAUAAGCACCCUUUCCACUAAUCACGAAGAAGGUUGUCGGCAAGGUUUUGUUGCCGAUGGUCAACUCAACACAUAUUGCCCCCUUAACCGGAGACACGUUGCCCUCAAAAUCUUUGAGCAUCAUAUCGGUCUUGGUCAAAUCCUGAUCUCCUUUCCCAAGCAUCUGAUAUACUGCAUAUGGCAUGAUAUUGAUAGCAGCCCCACCAUCAAUUAAAAUCUUGGUCAUCGGCUGGCCAUCCACCUUUCCUUUAACAAACAGAGCCUUAAGAUGUUGCCUUUCAUCAUCGGCAGGCUUCUCAAAGAUGGCUGUCAUCGGAUCCAGAGCCAACUGAGCUAUCUGGUCGGAAAACUCCAACUCAUCAUCACUGGACGGCGCAAGAAAUUCCAUCGGCAACAUAAAUACCAUGUUGACAUCUGCCGAUGGACCUUUUCCCUUAGGAUCUGAAUGUUGCUGAUCCCUAGACUGGCCAGAGUUUUCACCCUUGUUCAACUCUUCUCGUCUUUCACGCUGCAACCUCCUUUUUUGGGUCCUAGUCAACCCCUCUUGACACUAUGGAGGGAGUUGUUGCUGCCUUACCGAUGGGCGAUGAUUUUCCCUUGAUUCCAUCUGAUAAGUGUUGGCGUCCCUACAAAAUAUGAACUCAUUGGGAACCCAUGCAUUAGCCAUCUCCUCAAGUUCUUUUUGGUUCCUGGGAAAAUAUUUAACACGAUCACCAAGCCUAUCAUGCACGCUGAGCCUGCCCCCCAACCGAUCAUGAACCGACGCUUUCCCCCUGAUCGGUCCAUCAAACCGGCGGUUAUUGUUCUGGUACUGCCGAUUUGAUCUGUCAUACUGAUCAUAACCAUUGCAUUCCAGGCAGUCUCUGACAGUAGGAAGCUUGAUAUUCUCUUCCCAACAAUGGAUGAAGAACGGACAAUUCCAGUGAUCCCUAUGCCGAUUCCAUUCUUGUUGGCGUCUUUCUUCUUCCCGAUGAUAAUCUUCUUGCUGGUGCCGAUACCGAUCCUCACGUUGCUGCCAAGUUUCCCGUGGCCUUCUAUGAGUUAUCACAAUACCAGAUCGGGGAGGCCUCCUUGAGUUAGUUCCCUCCUGAAUCAAACCUUUUCCUUUUGCAUCGUCAGUGGUGAUCUGAUGCUGAGGAUCUACCGAUGCACUUCUUUCAGCUGUUAAGACCUUGGCCUUUCCUUUAGCAUCCAGCAUGUUUGUUGGAAAAGGAUGCUGAUCAAUCUUCAUCGGCUUCUGAGUUUUGGAGCUGUCAAAUUUGAUCCACCCAGAUUCUAUAGCCGAUUGCAGCUGCUGUCUAAAAACCUUGCACUCAUUGGUGCUAUGAGAAGUAGCAUUGUGCCAUUUGCAGUACUUCAUCUUCUUUAAUUCCUCAGUCGAUGGGAUUACAUGAUUGGGUGACAAUUUGAUCUGACCUUCCUGAAGUAGAAAGUCAAAUAUCCUAUCGGCUUUAGUGAUAUCAAAUGCGAACUUCUCUGGCUCUUUAUGCCCAAAGGGGCAAGACAUCGGCUUCUUAUUCUUUACCCAUUCUGCUAAGCCGAUGACUGGUUCCUCGUCAGAGUCCGAGCUUGCCGCUUCAUCUACAAACGAUACCUUUUUGUUCCAUGCUCUCUUGGGCUCAAAAGGCUUGAUAUCUUGAUCAGAAAUCCUCUGCACCAAAUGACUUAAGCUUUCGAAUUCUUGAGAUGCAUACUUGUCCCUGAUAUGCGGCAACAAACCCUGGAAAGCCAAAUCGGCUAGCUGCCGAUCAUCCAAAACCAGACUAUAGCAUUUGUUCUUGACUUCCCGUAUCCUCUGCACAAAACUUUCAACCGAUUCAUCAUUGCGUUGCUUCAGUUUGACCAAAUCAGUGAUCUUCUUCUCAUGAACUCUAGAAAAGAAGUAUUUGCGGAAUUGCUUCUCUAGAUCAGCCCAAGUAAUCAUUGAGUUGGGAGGUAAUGAUAUAAACCAAGUGAAAGCCAAUCCAGACAAUGAUGACGAGAACAGGCGAACCCUUCACUCAUCCCCGUUAGCAGCUUCUCCACAUUGAAUGAUGAACCUGUUGACGUGUUCCAUGGUUGAUGUAUCAUCCUGCCCAGAAAACUUAGUAAAAUCUGGCACUUUUACUGAUUUGGAAGCGGGAUUAAAUCAUAUGCAGGAGGAUACGGUGUCCGAUAAGAGUAAGUAUUGACUUUGAGUUUUAUCCCAAACUGGUCUCUCAUUACUUCAGCAAUCUUAUCGGCCCAAUAAGCAUCGGCAUCUUGCCGAUGAGGCGGUUGCGGAUCUGGGAUCUGGUGAUAUGCUUCCACAUGUCUAUUUGGUGCGCGAUCUGCAUGGAACAUUGGGUUAAUCAUCUGGCCACCAACUUGUUGGCCACCGAUCUGUCCACCGAUCUGUUGACCACCAAACUGCUAACCACCAAUCUGCUGCCCCAGAUUCAUUGGCUAGUUGGGCAACCCUUGAUUCUGGAACCCAGGGUAGAUCUAGCCUUGUUGAAACCCUGUAGUUUGAUGAUGCUGUUGGGGCAUUUGUGAAAAGACUUGCUGCUCAGGCCAUCCACUAUUAGCAUUCAUCGGCAUAGGACAUGCCGAUGAUUGGUAAUUGGGCAUUAUCAUUGUAUUGACAUACCCUGGCUGAGUCAUAAACUUCUGUUGCAUCAGCACUGAAUCUGCUGAUGCAUUAGGCAUCUAGAACAUUGGAGCUUGAGAAUUCCCAGUGUAAGGCCUUGCAGUAGUGGUUGUAGUAUACUGGGGACUCUGAUUCAUCGGCAUAUUUGGAGGUGCCGAUGCCAUAGGAGCCUUGCCUCUCACAUCAGCCGUCUGAGAUGUACCAGGUGUCUUCAACGUGAACUAUGGAGGCAUACCAAAACCCCACCAGUUAGGAGAAGGGACUGGUCCCGACAUUGCCGAUGCCAAUAGAUCUGUAGUAAGCUUAAUCUACCCAUCUGAGGUAGAUGGAUUGGUCGUCAUCGGCGUAGAUUGUGCAUUAGUAACUCCUAACGUACUUGGAGGAACCGCAGUUUCUGUGCCCGCAGCGACUGUAGCAGCCGAUGGAGCCGUAACCACUGGCGAUCCUGGCUGAUGAUAGACAGGGCCCACAUAAUUUGGUGGCAACUGUCCUUCUUUGAAAGUUCUAGCCACGGCAUUGAAAACCAUAUUGAACAGCACACCAGCUUGGUUGAUCAAGGCACGGUUGAUAGCACUGUCGACCAUGUCUUGAAGUUUACCAGGAUUGGCUUCAAAAGUGACCUGCCGAGGGGUCGGCAGUGCUUCCUUCUGGAUCACCUCGCCACUCCUGUUUAUGUUGAAGGCCUUGAGACAUUGUUGCUUGUAAUCUUCCAUAGCCUUCGCAAUAGCCUGCUUCUGCUCAUCUUUGAGGCUAGCUUCUGUCACGGGGAUGACAUUCUCCAAGUCAAACUCGGUAGUCGACAUAUUGAUCUUGAUCUUGAAUCUGGUCCCACCGAGCGUGCCAAAAGAUGUGUUGAUGCAAAAGCUGAAUCUACAAACACAAAGGGCUAAUACCCGAUUCAAACGUUAAGGCGUGCCAGCUGAUUUGACCUUACUAUCGGCAAAGGUGAUAACUCGAAUACUUUGGUCCUGACAACAGCGAUGCGCCCGGAUGCCACGGCCAAGAGGUAUUCACGCGGAACUCGAGAAUACACUGAGCUUAAGUCGACGAAUUUCUAAGAACUCGUAAUGAAAAGAAAAAUAUGACGAAGUCGUCAAAAAGGUAGAUACUGGAAUAUGAGUAAAACUUGUGUUUGAUUGAUUGAUGGAUGUCUCAAUUACAAGGCCCUAGGGUCUAUAUUUAUACUCUGCUCAAAGAGCUACAACCAGACACGACUAGAACUCAAAUUCCAAAUUAAACAGAAUCCGUAUACAAAACGAUUAAAAUAACUAAGGGAAACAUAAAACUAUCCUCCCGUGACAAACUAGGACACCACUACAGACCAAUCGGCAACCUUUAAGCCUUCCUUCCGCAUCAUUGGCAGAUUCUCCAUCGUAGCCAUCAACAAAGGUUAAUGCUGGCUAUCGGCAUAAACACAUCACCAUCCAUGGACUUAGCCAUAUUCAGCUGUCUCCUCAUCGGCAACCGCCCUCAUUGGCAACUCUUCUGCAGACCAGUGACCAUUACCCUGUCUUGCCGAUCCACACUCUACCGAUUCUGGAUACGUGUCCAAAAACGGUGUCAACAUAUGGUUUUCGAUGGGAAAAGAACUAGGGCGUAGAGGACCUUCGUGCGAACUCACCUAGGCGACUUUUGAGAUCGGAGAGAGCUUGGAAGAGGGCGGCAACACGUCGAGGCGGAUCUUUGCGUUCCUGUGAAGUUCGGCGAGCAAUUCAGCAACAUGGAGAAGGAUAGAACGAUGAUGGAGAGCACAGGGGGUUCAAAACCUCAACGCGAAGCUCGACGUCCACUCGACUGUGAAAGAGCGGCCGCGUAUGGCAAGAACCACGGCGGAGGUUCUUCCUCUACUCGUGGCGAGAUCCAAACUGCGACGACGACCGCAAAGAGAUCUCGUUGGCUUCACAGAUGAGGGAAAGGGCACGCGGGGAAGGUUCCUGAGCUUUUAUAGGAGCACGGUAGUCGAUCACGGUAACAAAUCCCGUGGUAAACGGGAUUGGGCUCUGUCCCGAUGUGAAGUCCUGCUUGGCCACGCAAGGAAGAAAGGUUGAAGUCACUGACUUGUGGGGCCCUCCUGUCGGUGACCAAAAGUGCGGGACCCGCUUGCCAGCCAAGGGAGAGAGAGGACGGUGCGCUGGCUGGCCAUUUGAGCCGAGAGAGGGAAGCAAGGCUUGCUGCGCGCGCUGGGCCAAAGGGAAACAGAAGGGGGAGGUUUUUUCCUUUUUCUUUUGUUUGUUUUCUUUUUGUUUCAUUUUAUUUCAAAACCAUUUGAAACCCAUUUAAAUAUUCUUUUAAAUCUUUUUGAAUUUUGAGUUCAAAAACACUCAGCACAAUAAACCAAAAUGCAGAAGCAUGAGUGCACAAAAAUGUUGCUACACCCUAAGAUAAAUUUUAUUUUGAUGAAGAAUAUUAUUUCCUAGGUUUCAUGAGCACCAAAAAUUCAUAAAUAAAUCAUUUUCACCUAUUUUUAAAAUGAGCAAAAUUUUGGGUGUUACACUUAGACUUUAGAUCAAGUACUCUUCCCACAAGUUCAGGUUUAGAGCAGGUUUAAAUUAUAACAGUUAUGCCUAAACUUGAGAGAGAUUUCAAUUUUGAGAACAGAGCAACUAUUCAUCAUUUCCAUGUGAGAGCUUAUCAUGAGGGUUCAUAGCAAACUUUAUUUAUUUAUUUAUUUAGCAAACUAAGCAAUCAACACAAAAUCUUUUUUUGGGUUUUUAUGACUAUGCAUAUUUUUAUUAUUUGAGUAAUGUAUAAACGUGAGUAGAACACUUAGCUGGAUAAAUGGGGUGCUCUCCCCCAAGCUGGAUUUUGACGUAAUUUCUUCUAAUGUAGCUAGCAGAUGGUAGAGGUGUAUUUGAAUGUCGGCAGCACCCUGACAACAAUUAGGAUGUCCUCCGUCUGCUAGUCUUCUUUGAUCAUUGAAUUCUGUGGAGCUCAAAUAGACAACAAAGCUUUGUGGAACUAGUUAAGUGUUAGCAUAAAUAUCUAGCCUUUAUCAUGUUGAGCCUCCUCAAUAAAUAUUACUCUCUUUUGUAGGAUCAUGAAUUUAUUUUUUAUAUUUUUAUUUUUAUAGGACAGCAAUAUAUUUAUUUUAUUUUUAUGCCACCGCAGUGAAUGUACUUAUGGGUUUUAUGCCAUGAGCAUACUCACAUGGGGCUUACUAUUUCUAACAUUUUUAUUUUCUUCUCGGGAUGAUAUGAACCUGAUUAACUAAGCAAACUAUUUUAAAUAAUUGAAGUGAAAAGGAUAACUACCAAGUUUACCUCUUGGCAAGGUGUUCGGUGUUUUUAAGUCCUCCAAACGGGACUCUCCGUUUUCUCAGUCGUCUUGGGAUUCGCUAGAUGGCGUAGUCGGUGGUUCCGACGGCGCCUCCUCUUCGUGUAUAACUAUCUUCUCUCUCCACACCACUUCUUCUUUGUAGUCUGCCCAUCCGUCCUUGAUGAUUUGCCUCCUCUGGUUGUGGUUGCGUCAUCUUCAGAGGGGAAGUGCAUGUGGACUUCUCCGGUUCCAAUAUAGAUGAUGGCUUUGAUAGUGUUGAGGAACGGUCUUCCAAGGAUGGUGGGUGGACCGUACUCGUCUUCUCCCUUGUCAAUGACCUGGGUCGUCCUUUUUGGUCAGGAACGGUGACUUAAGUCAAUGAUCUUGACCUCCUUGAGCUGCAGUGACUAUCUUAGAUAACUCGAUCCACAUUUGCUUGUUCCUAUUCAUCCUGUUGGUCCUCUUCGUUGGUUCAUGUUGGGAUUGCUCUGAAAUUUGUGUAGUCUUGUUCUUGAAGGAAAACGUCUCCUUCUUGCCCUUGAUGUAGAAACUGAUCUUGGCAGCACUAGCGUAGAUGACAACUCCCGAGGUGUUCAGGGAUGGCCUCUGUUGAUUCCUACCUUGAUUUUGUUGAGGACGGUUGUAGUGGUAGUUUUUGUUGUUGUAGUUUACGUCCUCAAGUAUCUCAGGGCAGUGAUGGCCUGAGUGUCCAGUAUCUCUAGUGUGUUUGUGCUCGUAGAUCCAGGUUCCUCACUUGGAAGAAUCUAGGAGUUGUAAAACUCCUUCAGGUUUUGCUCGAAGUGUACCUGCACAUAAAGACAAGGCAGAGAUCAAGCGCAUGGGCCCUGUUGGUGGAAAACACCAACAGAACCAAAAGUAUAUUUAUUCUUCUCUAUCCUUAAGCAUAGGGAGCAAGACAAAGUUGAUGGGUGAUAGGUUCAUGAGUGUAGCAUUUAGAACAUUUGUCAGAUCAGAUGGCUCAACUUAAUGGAAAGAUAAUCUAUCUAUAUUUAUGUUUUGUUUAUAUCUUCCAAACAUUGAAUGUGCACAUUUUAGCUUCUAUGAUUAGGAGUGUGGGAUCACGAAGGUAGUACUAAGAACAAAGAUUAAAGGACUAAACAUGUUGAAUUAAUUAGGUUGGUUAAUUAGGAGUUACAAAUCAUACAUGUUUGUCUCUUUUAUUCAUGUGAACGCCAGAACCAAGGAGAAGCUUAUAAAAGCGAUAGUCAAGUACCUUAAGAUGUUUUACUUGAAGAGUGAUGGUACAGUAUCACCUUGUGGAAGCUUUCCUUUCUUCGCGGUUGUGCAUCGUGUUUAUGGCACCCUCCAUGGAUCAUCUCUUGUGAGCUAUGCCUUCCUUGUGUAAAUUGUUAACCUUCAUGUGUCUCUCUCAUUGUCUCCAAUGUGAGUUUACCUCAGGACUUCCCAAGUCGAUAUUGAAAGUUUUCCUGUAGGGGUUAGUCCAACAAAAUAUCCAAUAUCUACAUAGCAUACUAUCGGCUCAAAAAUCAACCUAGACACCAUGUCUAAUUUGAUUUAGGAGGGCAUUUUAACCUAAGCACCAUGUUUAAUUUAAAAACCCUUGGAAGUAAGAUCAUCAUUCCUAAACUAAGCACCAUGCUUAAUUAUGAGAUAAAUGAAACUACUCCAAACCUAGACAUAUACUAAAGCAAACAAAGGUAGCAUGAGAGUAUUUAUAGAGAUCUACUCAAGUGGAGAUGAAGUAGUGUGAUUAGUAUUUAACAAAUUGAGCAUUUCUCAAAGGUAGGGACAACCAACAUAGCAACAUGGCGAAGGAUGUUUUUAUGUAAAGUACUCCCCCGAGCUUGAAUUUUGCAAAAUUCAAGUUUGGAUGAAUUUGAUUCAAUGUUGUAUGAUGAUUGGUUGGACAUACCUUGUGCUUGUCAUUCAUUCGAUCUUCUUGCUCCAAUCCUUGAAAGGUUAGUGACAAGAAUGCCUGAAGGAAUAUUUUUACAAUUAUCCUUAUAUGUGUUGACGGUCCUUAAGUAUCAAAUAUAAUCAGCAAAUAAACAAAGAAAAGGAUCCAAAUGCAACCGACAUCUAGACUUAGGGUUUUAUCUGACAGAAUUCCACGAGUUUUGGUGUUUGUCUAUUUCUGUAGGGGGUUAUCAGGAAUUAUGGAAGAAAGGCCCACAUAUCGGGUUUACAUAGAGAUAUUAACGUGCCGCGCAAUUAUCCUACAUCUAGAAGAGUCCAGAAGCCAUGGGAACGAACGGGAGACCGGACGGGCUCGGGGGCAGGGCGCCUGCCCUCCCCCCUUGGGCGCCCGCCCUGGCCUCAGGGCCAAUCACAGCCAACUUCGCGGAUCACGCUCCACCGACCUAAAGGAUCAAGGAAAACCAUGCGAUUAAUGUCGGUUUGAUCCGACGGCCCACAUUCACUUGGAAGGACUAUAUAUUCAGAAGAGUGAAUGUUUCUGAAUAAAUGUCUUGAUCUUAAGAGCAUGAUAAAUCUCUCAACAAGGGUCUAACCCAUUUUGAACAAACUCAAUAGAGAGUGGAUAGAUUUUAUAAUCAUAAUUAAUAUUUUUAGUUUUAUCAGGCAUAUAAAACACUCAGGAUGGUAGCUAAAAUUUUUUGAAUAAAUUCUCCAAGCAACAAUGAUAUCAAGAAUAAGAAACUCAUACUCUACCAUCUCACAUUCCACAAUGACUUAAGUAACACAGGGUUUUAAAAUGAUUUUUCAAUAAUUGCAUGUUUCAAGAAAUAUCACAGAGUGAGAUUAAUUAUGAUUAGAGACAUUUUAAUCUUUUUAAUUUAUCAUGUCGGAAACAGUAUUCUGCAUAUUCCAAGAUAUAUAUAUGUGUAAAGUGUGCAGAGUGUGUACCUGAAUCGUGGAGUGGUGUAGUCGAAGUGUGUUUGGCAUGUCAAGGGAUCUCCCCCAUACUUGUUUUCUGCUUUCUUACACAAAAAUAAAGUAGAGAUACACAAGACAUACUCUUUAUUAAUCUUGGGGCAUUUAUUGCAAAUAACUAGUAGCAAACUGACGAUAAUAGUAGCAAACUAAAGAUAAUAGUAAACCUAAACCGAAUUUAAAGAUAGAUAACUAAGAUGCAUUGCCUCAAGAUCUAAUCUAGAUAACUUAGCGGCGCUCUAACUCCUUGAUCUUCUUAUUGGCACUAGCAAGAUCAUGCCUAAGGCCUAGUAUAACGGUGUUGUGGUUAGAGAGCUGCCUAGUGAUGGAAUUAACCGAGGACUUGAGGUCUAUGAUAACCCUAUCUAGCCUGCGAACGUCCUCAUCAAUAUCUACUAUAGUCUUGCGAUGCUUAGGAGGUGUCUCAAAAGUAUUAAGAGCAUGCUUCGGGGCUGCCUUUGGAGGAAUGAAACGGACUUUGGCUGCUCUAAUCCCUUUGAAGUAAGGCCUCUCCUCCUCCGUAGUGUAGCGGAUGCUGCUGAUCUCACCGCUCUGGUUGGUCUUGACACCAACAACCCUUUCAUUGGGUUUGGGUUGAAGGAUCCUCGUGCCGGUUGGCACCUUGAUGGUGGUCUUCGUCUUGGAUGAUGAUCCUUUGAGAAGUAGGGGUUGUGGCGGUGCAGUCAGAACUGGUUGAGCAUGAUAGGAUCGGGCGGAGCUGCGUUGGCGUAAUGGCAUGGCUUCUAGCUGUCGCUCUGUGUUGGCCGGGACGAGAGCACGGGCGUCGGGGUCUUCCUCAGGCUUCAUGUUGAGGUUGAAGGGGACGACUUCCCAAUCAUCGUGGAACUUCUCGGCCAUUGGAGCAGCGAGGGACUAAACAAGCUCUAAUUGAGGAAGAAGGGAAGGCUUGGGUGGAUUGGUGUUUGAAAACUGAUGUCAGGGGUCUGUUUAUAUAGGGGUCAAAAAGUGCCUCUUGGAGUUGUUCGGGUUGCUCCCGUCGAUGUGCGUGUGAAACUUUCCAUCUGAGGGAUUAUUCGGAUUACCAAAAGUGUAUUUUCCAUAACAGAGGAAAUCGAGACCGAGAGGGGGCAGGAGCUGGGCGCCCGCCCACCUGAUCAGGGCGCCCACCCUCUCUCUGGCUCCUCUGUGGGCCCGCUUCCUCGAGCGUGUUUCUAGAUGCAAAACUAAUUAGGAAAAUAUAUGUAUGACCCAAAAACGUCAGAUUAAAAGUGUCGGGUUCUAAUUCUCCAUGGGAAGGUAAAAAUGAAUCACGUCUAUUUCUUCUAAUUCUUUAUUGGGCUCUAAAAAUAAUUUAAGACGUUGACCAUUUACCUUAAAUAACAUACCUUCAUCAUUUUAAAGUGUGAUAGCUCCAUGGGAUGAUGAAUUGAUUACCUUGAAUGGUCCUUCCCAUUCACUUCAGUGUUUUUCAUGCCCAAAAAGCAUCACCCUGGAAUUAAAAAGUAAUACCUUAUCUCCGGGUGCGAACUCCUUCUUGAUUCUCUUGUCAUGCCACCUUUUGACUCUUUCUUUGUAGAUCUUUGAAUUCUGAUAUGCUUUCUCUCGCCAUUCUUCCAAUUCUGAUAGUUGCAUUCUUCUAUGAUCUCCAGCAACAUCUAGGUCCAUAUUCCAUCUCCUUAUGCCCCAGUGUGCUUUGAACUCUAGUCCAACAGGUAGGUGGCAAGUCUUUCUGUACACCAAUUGGUAUGGGGACAUUCCAAUUGGGGUCUUGUAUGCUGUCCGGUAUGCCCAGAGUGCAUCGGGUAACUUGUCUUUCCAUGUCGUUCCCAUUUCAUUUACUGUCUUCUGAAGAAUAUUCUUGAUUUGCUUGUUGGAAGUCUCUGCUUGGCCACUUGUCUGAGGAUGGUAGGGGGUAGCGACGUUGUGACGGAUUCCAUGUUUUGAUAGAUAUUGCUUGAAGCGUUUGUUGAUUAAGUGUGCUCCUCCAUGGGAUGAAGUGUGCCUCUACCCACUUGGAGACAUAGUCAACUUCCACCAAGAUGUACUCACACUUCUUUGAUGGGGGAAAUGGACCCAUGUAGUCUAUUCCCCAGACAUCAAAGAGCUCAAUCUGAAGGUUGUUGGUGAGUGGCAUGGCAUCCCUUGUGUUUAUGUUUUCGUGCCUUUGACAUGGCCCACAUCUUCUGAUAUAUUGCUUCGUGUCUUCAUACAUUGUAGGCUAGUAGAAUCCACACUGCCAGAUCUUUGAAUGUGUACGGAAUGCUCCAUAAUGACCUCCAUAUGGUGAUGAAUGACAUCUGUCGAUGAUCUUCCAUCCUUCCUCAGUGGUCACACAUCUCCUGAGUAAGCCAUCAGAACAUACUCAGAAGAGGUAUGGCUCAUCCCAUAUAUGUGAACGACUUUCUUGAAUAAGCUUCUUCUUGUUUGCUCCUGGUGGUACAUACCCUGAAACCAUAAAAUUAACAAUAUCUGCAUACCAGGGGUCAGACCUGUUAAUCCCGUAGAGCAUGUCGUCCCGGAGUGAAUCAUUGAUGGAGGUUUCCUGUGGACUCUUAAAAUACAUUCUAGACAAGUGAUCAGCAACAGAAUUUUCAACUCCCUUUUUAUCUUUUAUUUCUAAGUCAAAUUCUUGAAGUAAUAAGAUCCAUCUAAUCAGGUGAGGUUUAGCAUCUUUUUUUAGUGAGCAAAUAUUUUAGUGCAACAUGAUGAGUGUAAACAAUUAUUUUAGCUCCAACUAAAUAAGAUCUAAAUUUAUCAAUGGCAAAGACAACAGCCAGAAGCUCUUUUUCAGUGGUUGCAUAAUUAAGUUGAGCUCCUGUCAAAGUUUUACUGGCAUAAGCAAUUGCAUGAUGCUUCUUAUUUUUAGUUUGUCCCAAAACUGCCCCCACAGCAUAAUCACUAGCAUCACACAUAAUUUCAAAAGUCAACGACCAAUCAGGGGGUUGAAUGAUUGGUGUAGAGAUGAGUGCUUUCUUUAUUAAUAAAUUUAAAGAUGUUAGACAUGCAUCAUCAAAUUCAAAAGGAGCAUCCUUGGCUAGCAAAAGUGUAAGUGGUCUAGCAAUGAAUGAAAAAUCUUUUAUGAAUCUACGAUAAAAACUAGCAUGGCCACGAAAGCUUUGAAUUCCUUUUAUAUUCACAGGUGGAGGUAGUUGUUCAAUUACUUCAAUUUUAGCUUUGUCUACCUCAAUACCUCUUUCAGACACUAGGUGUCCCAACACUAUUCCUUCCCUAACCAUAAAAUGACAUUUUUCCCAAUUAAGGACUAAGUGCUUUUCUUCACAUCUUUGCAAAAUAUUGUCUAAAUUUUCAAGACAACUAUCAAAAGUUUUUCCAUAAACAGAGAAAUCAUCCAUGAAAACUUCCAUAAUCUCUUCAAUCAUACCAGAAAAUAUAGACAUCAUGCAUCUUUGAAAAGAAGCUGGUGCAUUACAUAACCCAAAAGACAUUCUACGGUAAGCAUAAGUUCCAUAUGGGCAUGUAAAAGUGGUUUUGCUUUGAUCAUCGGGAUGGAUCGGGAUUUGGUGAUACCGUGAAUAUCCUUCUAAGAAACAGAAGAACGAAUGGUUUGCUAAUCGCUCUAGCAUCUCAUCUAUGAAAGGUAAAGGAAAGUGAUCCUUUCUCGUGGCUUUGUUCAGUUUUCUAUAGUCUAUGCACAUCCGCCAUCCUGUGACGGUGCGUUGUGGAAUUAGCUCGUUCUUUUCAUUCAUAAUAACAUUCAUGCCUCCCUUUUUAGGCACAACUUGUACUGGGCUUACCCACUCACUGUGUGGCACAAGAUAUAUAAUCCCUGCAUGCAGCAACUUUAUAACUUACUUUUUAACUACCUCUCUCAUAGUGUUGUUAAGUCUAUGUUGGGGCUCUCGAGAAGGUGAAACAGAAGGAUCUGUUGGAAUACAAUGGGUACAAAUCGUAGGACUGAUUCCUGUAAGAUCUUGGAGUGAGUAGCCAAAAACUGAGUGAUGUUUCUCAAGAAUGGUCAUUAAUCGUAGAGUUUGCUCCUGAGUGAGUUUAUCACUAAUGAUCACAGGAAACUCUGGAUUAUUGUUUAGAAAAGCAUAGAUAAGACCGGAUGGUAAAGUUUUAAGCUCUAUGGGAGGUCUAGGUGUUUCUGCAAACUCAUCUAAGGGUUCAGGUUCAGAAGGUUCAGCUUCUUCUUCUGUGAAGAAAUGAGUUUCGUCUUCUAAGUCUGGUUUAUCUAAAAGCUCUAGAGAUGCAGCCUUUACCUCCUCCAUAGGAUCAGGCAAAAGAUAUGACUCGGCCUUAUUGUUUAAGGAGUGUGAAAUUGUUAUGGGAAAUUUAAAUGUUUUUCCAAAAGAAAUGUGUAGCUUUCCCGUAUGACCUUCAUAAAGGAGUCUUCUAAAAGGUUGUCCUAUCAACAGGUCGAAGUCCCAUGUAUCAAAGAUAUAGAAGUUCAAAUGAACAUUGAAGCCUUCUACCGUAAGAGGUAGGACAUUAAUAAUUCCAAGACUGGGGACUAAUCGUCCCGAAGAUUCCUUUAUGACCUUUGUUGUGGGGGUUAAGACAAGAUUUUUAAAUAAUUUAAGUGCAAAAGAUUCAGACAUGAUGUUGAUCCCCACAACAGGAUUAUAGAGAGCAUCAAAUUGAUCAGAAUCAUAGACACAGCGUAUAGUUAUAGAGGGUGUGUCCAAACGGAUCACAUCAGAGGAAAGCUCUGAUUCCUCCAACCAUUCGCUACUCAUGACUGCGAUAAGCUCCCUUAAUUGAUAUUCAGUUGGCAAACAAAUGCUAAAAUGGCCGUUUUGGGGUCUGUCUAUAGAAUGGUAGUUUGAAAUGUUUCCAAAAUCGGCAAAAAGAUCAGAUUCUAUAUCCAGCAUGAAGUCCGGUGGUGGAAUUUCUUCCUUUUGUGACUCAAAACUUGGGAUAGCUAAAGUAGAUGGAGAAUUUGGCAGAGUGUCUACUUCGACUUCGUGGGUUUCAUCAUGAAGGGUAUUAUCUAUCUCAGCUUCUUGGAUUCUAUCUAGGAUCACUCUAGCUUCAUCAGUAGGGAUGCGAAAGAAAGAACCUCUAGACAUUGUUUGUAGCAUUUGUUUAUGAUCUUUCUAAAGACCUCGAAAAAAGUGAAAUAAAAGAACAGGUUCUUCAAGAUUAAGGUUUGGACCUGAUUCUAAAAGAUCAGAAAAAUGUUUCCAGGAUUUUCCCAAAGUUUCAUUAUCUUUUUGUUUAAAAGAUAGGACUUCGAGUCUAAGGUCGCCGAUACGGUCGAGGGAAUAGAAAUCUAGACAAAAGUUGGCUCGUAAAACUCCCCAUUCACCUCGUUGUUGACUUACCUUCUGACUGCACCAUUGUCUAGCUUCUCCCCUUAAAGAAAAAGGAAAAAGCUUCCAACGUAAAGUUUUAUCAGAAAUGCCUUCAAUACGAAGACAAUCACAUGUUUGCUCAAAAUCUCUAAUAUGAAAGUAAGGGUUUUCGUCUUCCUUUCCCGAAAAAGAUAGGUUUUGAAUCAUGGCAAUCAACCUUUCCUGCCUAUGAAGAACCCUUUGCCGGCUGAUUGUUGGAACUUCUGGCCAGCUGAUCACUCCUUGGAUACUUGGCACCUCAGAACUGACAACCCAAGGUGGGGAAAUAAUGCUGAAGCUUCCUCCUCCUCGGGAUACAGGAGGCCUAGACUGCACCUACUCAGAGAAGGCGACUUUGCUGCGACAGGAACAAAGCUGUUUCAGGAUAAUCUAUCAACUAGCAAUAUUCUCUCCAGGGAAUGCAGGGAUAUAAUGUGUAUGACCAAGAUUAUGCUCUAGAACAAAUCAUGAGAAACAUACACCCAGGCAGAAACUCCACCAACUCGGCAAAUAUGAACAGAAUAACUGAGGCCAUGGGCUCUGUUCUACCGACUCUUGACAGUCAGAUGCUUGAAGAUUUCAUUGAUGCCGGUUACUCUGCUGAGGAAGUUGAAGCACUGAAGGCCAAUAUGGAAUCUUACUUCACACCCCACCCCACACAGUCACGUCCUUUUGAUGAUACUCCUAGCACAAAAAAGAAGAGGAAAGCAAAAUAUCAAACUCCCAUUGUGGAUGAUCAGGCAAGGAGGAGUGCCAGACUCAAAAAGAAUGAAGAAAUACAACAUUUUCAGCUUGACAGGGAGCCAAGAAGGAAGAAUGGAGAGGCCAAGAAGACUGUCUAUAUCUCCACUGUAGAAGACCUCAAGACUACUAUCAUCAAUAGAAGCCUAGAUUUUGAAAUGGUAGCCAAUGAAGUGGAGCCUAUCCCAAUUUUUACUCUGAUUGUUCUUGGCGUGUCCUUCUGUGGUGUCCCUCCUGGGGAGUUGACACCAAAUGUGCUCCAGCAGAUCUCUGAAGAGUGAAUUAAUGGAGAAACCUCAAGACCUUGCUGUCAAAUGGUGGCGGCACUGCUUUUAUUUUGCUUUUAAUAUUAGUAGUUGGUUCAGAUCUUUUGUCUCUGCUUUCUCGAUGACAAGAACUGUUUUUUGUCUCAAUGAUGGUUGUGCCUCAUUGUUUGUCGACAGACUCUUUUCAAUGGUUAUCAAUGAAUAGUCGUGCAUGGAAUUUAUUAUGUUGGAAUAUUCGCGGGGUGAAUGAUUCUGAUAAAUGGGAUCAUAUUAGAAAUAAAAUUGAGGAAAGUAAUGCCAACAUUUUCUGUCUUCAAGAAACCAAGAGGGAUUUUUUUGAUCUUAAAUUUAUUCGAAAAUUUGCGCCCAAGAGAUUUGACAAAUUUGAUUAUUGUCCCUCUGUUGGGGCUUCGGGUGGGAUCUUAGUCUUCUGGGUUUCUUCAUAUUUCAACAUUGUUACCCUUGAGAAGCAUCGUUUUGCCAUAAGGGCCUCUGUUACUUCAACCCAUGACCUUUGCCUCUGGACUCUUGUUGUAGUCUAUGGUCCUUGUCGUCAGCCAGCCAGAGAUCUCUUUGUAAACUGGCUUUAUAACCUAAGCAUUGGGGAUGACGACCUCUGGCUCAUUGUUGGGGAUUUCAAUUUCUAUAGGUCUGAUGAGAACAGGAAUAGACCGGGAGGUAAUUUCAAUGACUCAGUGAUUUUUAAUAAUAUCAUUAGUAGACUUGGCCUGAUUGAACUCCCGCUUAAAGGUAGAAGCUAUACUUGGAGCAAUAUGCAAGACACUCCCUUACUUGAGCAAAUAGAUUGGUUUUUCACUUCAGUUGCUUGGACCAACCAGUUCCCCUUUUCUUUGGUGCUCCCCCUGGCAAGAACCACCUCUGACCAUCUCCCUUGCAAGGUCCAGAUUGGCACAAACAUCCCCAAAGCUAAUAUCCUCAGGUCUGAAAACUUUUGGUUCAAUCAUCCAGGAUGCAUUGAACAGAUUUCCAAUGCUUGGAUCAUUCCAACAAGUUGUUCAAAUAGUGCUCAAGUUAUUAGCGCUAAGUUUAAGCUUCUCGGAAGAAUCCUAAAGCUCUAGGCCAAAAAAUUCUCUAACCUAGCUAAGCUGAUUGAAAACUGCAACCUCACCAUUGCUUUCUUUGAUAGACUGGAAGAGAUCAGGUGGCUUUCCAAUGCAGAAUUGGUUUUCAGAAUGAUGAUCAAAACCCAUUAUUGUAACCUUCUUGCUAUGCAGAAUACUUAUUGGAAGCAAAGGUACACUCAGAGAUUAGUCCAGUUUGGGGAUGAAAAUACAAAAUUUUUUCAUGCAAUGGCUUCUGAAAGAUUCAGAAGGAAUAUCAUUUGUCAGGUCAGCGAUGAGAGUGGAAGAACUGUUACUGAUCAUUCUGAAAAAAGUUCCCUUUUCUAUCAGGAAUACAGGAGAAGAUUGGGUUCCUCUGUAGGAAUCUCCAUGCAGUUUAAUCUUCAACAGAUUGUUCAGCCCUCCAGUGAUCUUGGCUCUUUAUGUCUUCCUUUCAGCAAGGAGGAGAUCAAUGAUAUCAUCCUCGAUCUCCCAAAUGAUAAGGCCCCGGGUCCUGAUGGGUUCAACAGCUUGUUCUUUAAGAAAGCUUGGCACAUUAUCAGAGAAGAUGUAUAUAGGCUAUGUACAGAUUUCUAUCAUCACAAGGCUGACCUCAAGAGCAUAAACUAUUCAUAUAUUACCCUUGUCCCAAAAAAGGAUAACCCUGAAACUGUGAACGACUUUAGGCCAAUUUCCCUCCUGAACUCUUCUCUCAAGAUUAUCACCAAGAUACUUGCUAAUAGACUACAGAAGAAAGCUUUGAAGGUUGUCCAUAGUAAUCAGUAUGGUUUUGUCAAAGGGAGAACCAUCCAAGACUGUAUUGGCUGGGCCUUUGAAUACUUACACCAGUGCCAUCACUCUAGAAGGGAAAUUGUCAUCCUAAAGCUUGAUUUUGAGAAAGCCUUUGAUCUGGUGGAACACAAAAUUGUUGUGGAAAUGCUAAGGGCUAAAGGCUUUCCUAGUAGAUGGAUCAUUUGGAUCAAGGAUAUCCUCUCUACUGCUACCUCUUCUGUCUUGCUUAAUGGAGUUGCUGGCAAGGAGUUCAAAUGCAAACGAGGGGUCAGGCAGGGUGAUCCUCUUUCACCUAUGCUGUUUGCUAUUGCGGCCGAUCUCCUUCAGUCUGUUAUUAAUCAUGAGAUGUCGCUUGGCAAUCUGCUCCCUCCUUUUCCUCAAGAUUCAGAUGUGCCUUUCCCUGUUGUCCAAUAUGCUGACGAUACCAUCAUAAUCAUGCAAGGUUGUGAGCAGCAAUUGCUACAUUUAUAAGGGAUUCUACAGCAGGUCACCCUGUCUAGUGGUCUAAAGGUCAACUUCCACAAAUCUUGCCUUCUUCCUAUCAAUAUGGACUCAGACAAAGCAACUCUCCUUGCCAACUCUUUUGGCUGUGUCGUUGGAGCCUACCCUUUCACGUACCUUGGGCUCCCAAUGGGACUUACUAAGCCUCAAGUGAAAGAUUAUGCCCCCCUGAUCUGCAGAAUUGAAAGAAGACUCUCUGCUAGUUCACAAUUCCUGUCUUAUGCUGGCCGGUUGCAGCUAGUUAAUUCUGUCAUUUUCUUGUUGCCUACUUACUACAUGUGUUCUCUGAAACUUCCAGUCACUAUCAUUGAGAUCAUUGACAAGCAUAGGAAGAAUUGUCUCUGGAGGGGCAGUGAAUUCAAAAGGAAGGGAUAUAACCUUGCUGCUUGGGAUCUGGUGCAAAGACCAAAGAGCAAAGGUGGACUGGGGGUAAUCAACCUAAGCCUGCAGAAUAAUGCCCUAUUGAUAAAACAUCUAGAUAAAUUCUACAGAAAAGAUGAAAUUCAAUGGUCAAGCUGAUUUGGAAAAAAUAUUAUGUAGAUAGUGUUCCUCAUCUUGCUAGAGAAAAAGGCUCAUUUUGGUGGAGGGACAUCUUGAGACUUAAUGUGCAGUUUAGAGGAGUGGCUUCUUGUUCUCCAGGAAGGGGAGAUACAAUUAGCUUCUGGGAAGAUAUUAUUAAUAGGCAGGUGGGUGCUGAGGUAUUCCCAAAUCUAUAUUCUUAUGCCAAUAACCCCAAAGUCUCUCUCUGGAAAUUGAGAAAUUCAGGAGAUCUAUUGCAUAAUUUUAGAAUCCCAAUGUCUAGACAAGCAUAUAAUGAGUUUCUGCUUUUACAAAAUGUUGUUUCUGGCCUGCCUCCAGUUUCACCUCAUGUCAGAGAUGUUUGGCACUUCAUUUGGGGAACUCAAAGCUAUUGUUCUCAUAGAUUCUAUCAGCAUCACUUCUCCUCAUUGCAGCCUCAAAGAUCAGUAGUUUGGAUUUGGAAAUCAAAAUGCCUUCCUAAGAUAAAAUUUUUUGGAUGGUUGCUGCUGAAUGACAGACUUAAUACUAGGAAUAUGCUGAGAUGGAGAAAUAAGUUCUUAGAGGAAGGAUACAACUGUGUCCUUUGUCAAAACCAUGUGGAAGAAACCUUAGAGCACCUGUUUUUUGACUGUCCUGCUUCCACUGCCAGAUGGUUUGCAAUUGGGAUUGCCUGGGAUGAUGCUCCCAGUCUGCAUGAAAGAAUUUAUAGGGCAAAGGAUGUUUUUCAAGGACCACUCUUCAUGGAAGUUUUCUUAAUUGCUGCAUGGUGUCUUUGGAAUGAAAGGAAUGGAGUUAUCUUCAAUAAAAAAGUUCCAAGUCUAGGAUCUUGGAAGGAUGCUUUCAAGGAAGAAACCAAACUGCUCCUAUACAGAAUCAAGUCGAGUCUCCAUCCUACGAUCCUCAGUUGGCUCAGUGCUCUGUAGUUUCUUAGUUGUCCUUUUUGCUUUUAGUUGGUUACAGUAGAAGAGUCUUAGAGUAGUUGCUUCCCUUCCCCUAGUCUUUGUUGCUAACCGCUGGUUGGUCUUCCCUCUUGUAAGUAUUCUCUGAACUACUCUGUUCAAUAUAUGUUGCCGGGGGGCUUUGCCCCACGGUUUUUGCUCAAAAAAAACCUAGAACUUAACCUAUACUGGGAUGUUUGGAUAGGCUGUGAUGACUCCCGUGGUAAAAGGUCAGUUACUAAAGGGAUUGCAGAUUCAUGGAUAGAUUUAGAUUCUUGGUUUCCAUAAGGUAAGAGUAAAGAAAAUAAAUAAAGAAUAUAAAAGAUAAGAAAAGGUAAAAGUAUAGAUACAAGAUAGUAGUAAGACUCAAGGUUAUCUCAGCAAACCGUCUUUCUCCCCGGCAACGGCGCCAGAAAUGCUUGUUGAUAUUUGGGAACGCAAUAAGGAAUUGAUCCGCAAGCGCAGGGAUAUCGGUGAGCACUUCACCCGGGAGGUUAUCCAGAGUAUCGUAUUUAUUUUUUUACUACUAGGAGAAAGAGUGCAUCUGACUAACCCGGUCUAUUACUACUAACCCUUAGGCUACAAAGAAUGUUUCUCGAUGUGAGUGAUAAAUAGAGAAGACUACAACCGUAAUCUCCUUCUAACCUUGGUAAGGAUGGUCUACUGUUCUAUUGGGGAGGCUAACAGAAUCUAGACACCACAGAGGAUGUUCAACCCGCACCUAUAAACCCUAUCCUUCCUGCUAACGAGAUAUGGUUUGCAAAGGUAACUCGGAAAUGUCACGUUCCUCGCUACUACCACGGUCUAGCUAGUCAGGGAAUAUCUAUGAGUAUCCUAGCCUAAACACCAUGUCUACGCUAGAGAUGAUUACUCUAAACUCUACGCGAAGAGAUUAAAGUAAACUCAUAAACCAAAGAACAAUAAAACAAGAACUUACUAGAAUUUAGAAGUCGAAAUACUGAAGAAUCCUAGGAGCAAGCUUCGGGUUAGGAGAACUUGAUCCCGUAGGUACAACCUCGGAGUAGACACCGACAGGCCGGGCUUCCUCCGAUCUACACCUACACUCUAUCUCUCUCAAUCUAGUAGAAACUAGAAGAUCUAAUUCUACUCACAUUGGAUGCUAAGCCUAAAAAGAAAUUUUAUUUAGAGCAGAGGUAUUCCUUCGAGGGCUCCUCUCAACUCUAUGAUGAACUUGUCUCCUCCAGGGGCCAGGGGGUAUGGUUUUAUAGUCCCCUCAAGUGAACGUGAGCCAUUGGAUCAAACCGACAUUGAUUGGACGGUUAUCCUUGAUCCUUUAGGUUGGUGGAGCGUUGUCCGCAAAAAGAGUUAUGAUUGGAAUCUAGGAGGGGGCGGGCGCCCUGGUCCUCAGGGCGGGUGCCCUAGGCCAGGCCCCUUUCGGCCUCCGCUUUGUUCCGUGGCUUCUGGAGUCUUCUAGAUGGUAGAAAAUUGCGUGGUGCGUUGAUAUCUCUAUGUAAUCCCGACAUGUGGGCCUUUCUUCCUUAUUUCCUGAUAACCUCCUGUAGAAACAGAUAAACAACAAAACUCGUGGAAUUCUGCCAUAUCAAACCCUAAUUCUAGGUGUUGUUUGCAUAUUGGUCCUUUCUCUUGUUUAUUUGAUAAUUAAAAUUGAUACUUAAGAACCGUCAACAUGCACCACCCCGCUACGCGGACAAUGACCAAGGGAGUUGGCAAGGGGUCAUGUGACCGAGGCUGUGGCCCCAUUGAGAUGGUGGCCAUAGCCACCUAUGGCCACCAGAAGCCGACUGCAUGGACUACCUAGGAGGCAGUGGGGCGUCGCAGCCCCUCAGUCAGAGGUGAUGUGCCCAGGCAAGAGCCGCUAUAUCUGGCCUAGAUAUAGUGAGGGAGAGGCCAUGGCCACCUGCCACCGCCGCCAUGGACCGCCGAGAAAGAAGUAGGAUGCAUCGCAACCAAAGGUCUACACCCGAGGUGGCGCUUGGGCAGCAACCGCCAUGUCUUGCCAACUAGGUGGCUUGUUGGAGCAGCUCAAGAGAAGGUGGUUAGAUGAAGGGAUGGAGAAAGGUUGGGGGAAGAAGGUGAAGAGAGGAGGCUACAAUGAUGGACUUGUUUGGGCCAUUGCAGGCCAUCGCUGCCACACGCCGGAGGAAGGGGCAGCACUAGGGCAGUGCCGGUGACACCCCUGAGUUGCCGGUUGGGAUGCUCGGGGGAAUAGUAGCAGCAUAGAGAUCAGAUUGAGAAGUCAUAAUUUCAGCCCUUAGUCUUAUUGAGUAUCCUCAUACUUCUAUGUAUCAAAAUAUCAUUUUCCAGAGGACACUGGAAAGAAGGAAGUAGAUUCAAAACAUAGAGAGGUUAUUAUCCACCUGCUAGCAUUUAUAAGCAAAGGAAGUGUGAAGACUGGUGAUGCCUCUAACAAGAACUCAUCAUUUUUAGGGUAUAAUGUGAAUAUGGAUCAAACACGAGACAUAGAUUUUACAUGGAAAACCCUUGCAAGAAAAACCAUGGGCACGAACCGGCGAUCUUCACUAUAUGAUGAGAGUUUACAAAAUGCAUGAAAUACAGUCAAUUAUGUCUCUCAACUAUUCAAAUAGGGCUUACAAGAUGUAUUUAUAGGACGGAAUGACAAUAGUCAAAUAUGAAAACAAAUCCGCUAAUAAACAUAAUCCCAACUGCAAGCCCUCCACACGUCCCUGCACGACUCAUGUUCUAAUUUGGAUCAUAUUCCAACAAACUCCAUCUAGCAACAAAUUUCAUCUUGCAGCAAAUGAAGUAUCAUCAAUCAACUAACUUAAUAAUAAAUAAUCACUUAUGCCAAAAGUCACUAGGACUCGAACUUUAUUGUCAACUAAGCCUGAGCAUAGCUUAAAUUUAGCUGGAGGCACUAGCUUCAUCAACAUAUCAGCAGGAUUAUUAUGAGUACUUAUCUGGCAUACCAUGACAUCACCUUCAACAAUAACACCUCAAAUAAAAUGAUAUCUCACAUCAGUGCUUGGUCCUUUCAUGAAAUAUCUGAUCCUUAGUCAAACAAAUAGCACUCUGGCUAUGACAAUGUAUAGUAGUUUAAGAAGUAAUCCCAAAAAGUAAAGAGUAUAAACCUCUGAAACAAAUACCUUCUUUUCAAGCUUUAGAAAUAGCAAUAUAUUUAGCUUCUGAUUUAGACAAAGCAACAGAAGCCUAAAAACAUGCUUUCAAGCUAACAACAACAUCCACCAAUUAUAAAAACAUAACUGAUGAGAGAUCUUGUCUUAUCUAAAUCACUGGCAUAAUCAGAGUCAACAUAACCAAUAAUCCCAUCUCUAGAUUUUCCAAACUGUAAACAGCCAUUAGAAGUACCUCACAAAUAUAUGAAAUCCAGUGAACAGCUCUUCAAUCCUUCUUACUAGGAUUAGCCAUGAAUCUACUAACAACACACAAUGCAUGAGAUAAAUUAGGAUGAGAACAAAUCAUGGCAUACAUGAGAGAAUCAACUACACUAGAAUAUGAACCUCUACAUAUGUACUUAAUUUCAUCAUCUGACUCUAGACAUAAAUCUGAGGAUAAUCUCAAAUGUGCAGCUAAUUGAGUACUCACUAGUUUUGUAUUAUGCAUAUUGAAACAAUGAAGAACCUUAUGAAUAUAACCUCGGUAACUAAGUAUAAUUUACUAGCUUUUCUAUCUCUAUAAUUUCCAUGCCAAGAAUUUUUUUUAGCUGCACCUAUGGCCUUCAUCUCAAAUUCUUUAUGCAAUUGUGCCUUCAAUUUAGCUAUUUCUAAUUUAUCUUUUGCAGCAAUCAACAUAUCAUCAACAUAAAGAAGCAAAUAAAUAAAUAAGCCAUUAACAAUCUUCAGAUAAACAUAGCUAUCAUAAUCUGACUUCUUAAGACAAUGCGAGAGGAUAAAUGGGUGAAACCUCUUGUACCAUUUCCCAGGGGAUUGCUUGAAACCAUAAAGCAACUUCUUUAGUCUACAAACAAGGUUUUCUUUUCCAGAAUAACAAAACCUUUAGGUUGGUUCAUAUAAUGUCUUCAUUUAACUCUCCAUGUAAGAAUGCAAUUCAACACCUAGAUGCUCAAGUUCAUAAUCAUGAAUGACAAUAAUACUAAGCAAAGUGUGAAUAGAACUAUGCUUAACAACUCGAGAAAAGACAUCAUUAUAAUCAAUACCUGAAAUCUGGUUAUAGCCUUUAGCAACCUACCUUGCUUUAUACCUUUUUAGAUUAUGAGGAGAAAUACCCUCCUUUCUUUUAAAAUCCAUUUGCAAUGGACAGGCUUCUAUUCUUAGGCAAUUUCACUAAAUCUUAAGUAACAUUCUUUUCAAACGACUCCAUAUCAUCUUGCAUAGUGGUCAUCCAAUUGUUGCAGUCAGCAGAAGUAAUAGCCUCAGAAUAAGUAGAAGGUUCUGAAUUACAUUCAAUCUCUUUUGUAAUAGUCAUAUCAUAAGAAACAUUGCAUUCUUUUAUAUACCUUUUAAUAGGCUUACGCUGCCUUCUGGCCCUAUCAAUAGUAAAAAAUGUUGUGGAGACUGGAGAACUGCAGAAGAAUGCUCAACGAUAGAAGAAUCAUCAAUAAUUGGAGAAAUUUAAGCUAUAGGUGUAUAUUUGACAAAAGCAUUAUCAACAUUUGGUGCAUCAAUUAAGUGCUCCACCUGCACACUUAUUUUAUCUCCCUCAAUAGUAGCAUCACUAGAUAGGUUGACAUAAAACAUAGUAGAUUCAUUAAAGAUAGCAUUCCUGCUAAGCAUAGCCUUUCGAGUCUAUGGAUUCUACAAUUUAUCACCUUUAAUACGAGCUUGAUAACCAAGAAAAUUACAUUUAGAAGCUCUAGCCUCUAAUUUAGUAUUAUCAAUGUGAGCAUAAGCAGUACAACUAAAAACUCUCAGUUGUGAAUAAUCAGCUUGAGAACCAGACCAUACCUCAAUUGGAGUUUUCUUACCAAGAGUAAUGGAGGGUGAACGAUUAAUAAGAUAACAUGUAGUGGAAGCAGCUUCAGCCCAAAAAUACCUAUUCAAACCCAAAUUAGAUAACAUGCAAUGGGUCUUGGAGAUGAUAGUUCAAUUCUAACACUCAGCUACACCAUUCUGUUGAGGUGUAUAAGGAAUAGUGCAGUGCCUAACAAUACCUUGAGACUUGCAAUAUGCUUUAAAUUGAUUAGAAUAGAGUUCCAUCCCAUUAUCAGUGAGAUGCUUUUAACCUUCUUCUCGGUUUGAUUUUUGUCACACCCAUAUUUUAAGCAAAAUAUAGGAUGCAUAAAAGACUCAUAUGUGCCCCAGAAACAGUCGCACACAUAAGUAGACAAAUCUCAAAUGUACCAUUGCAGUGUUUAUUACAUAGCGGAAUAUAAUAUAUCACAUAGUCUCAUACAAAAAUGAUAGCAUAAAGUAAACAACGCUCUCGACGGAAGCUCCACACAGGGACAACAUUGAUUGGUUGACUCCAAGCCUAGUACUCAUAAUGGUAAUCCUCAUUCCAGUCAUCUUCAUUAUCAUAUCCUAAGGUGUUGGGAAAUUGCAAGAGUGAGCACAUAUCGUACUCAACAAGUAUAACCAGGGGUUCAUGAGGCUCAAAUAGCUGACACUGGUUCGACUGCAUUUAGCUUUUAGUAGUUGAUAGCAUGUUCAAUCAUUGGAUAGCAAAUAUCAAGGUAGCAUAAAUAAUCCCAUAACCACAUGAUCAAUGUAUACAAGAAUUAAGAAUAACACAUAUAAACAACAUAAUAAACCAUCAUUUAUCUUCAUUAAUCAUGUUCAUCAGUGUCCAUCUAUUCCGUCAGUUUUCCGGGCCGCCCGUAUCUGUGGGCACGGCUAGUAUACCAGAUUUAACACUCUGCAGAGGUUGUACAUCUUUACCCAUGAGUCGUGAUUUACCCUUUUGCCCGAGGUUGCAAGUCUCUUAACCCCCUUCCUAGGGAGGUCGGCAGGGAUCACUAUGAAGCCUUUCAAAAGUUUUGUCUAACAAGUUAGUGCCAUUAGAUUCACUCGGCAGGCAGAUAUAGAGCCCCCUCCCAUGGCACAUAACACGCAGCCUAUACACACGGACAGAGGCCACACUAUACCCAACGUGUCUAGCCAUUCCUACGCCAUUUAAGGUAACUGCUAACAAGCUAGAAAAAGGUCCUCAUACUGAGCUAAAACCAGAGCCAUGUAGCCCUCAUGGUUGUAUGAGUUGUCCCAGCUUUUGCCAAGGGAUAAGUCCUUAUGGAGGGUCAAGAUCAAUCUAGCAAAAGCCAGAGUUCUUUCCACCCUUUUAUAUUCAAGUUGCUAGAAAGCUCAUUUUAUUGUUUAUUGUAUAUCCAAACAUUCAUGUUACAAGAUCAUGGAUUAUAUUCAAGCACUAGCAAGAACUACCCAAAUGCAUAUCCAAAAUAGGUAACAAGGAAUUCAGGAUAACAAACAUCUAUGAUUUUGCUAAGGUCAUCAAGGUGGACACAUGCAUAUGAUAAAUAUUGUAUUAAUUGUGUAUAGGUAACAAGGAUAAUCCCCAGUUAUACUUGCCUUGAUCAAAGCUCUCCUGAGCCUGCUGGUCUUCAAAGUCUUGGUCUUGCUCACCAACGUACGGCUCACCGUCUAAUCCCGAUCAUCAAUCAACAACACGCAAUUCAAUGUAGACAAUCAUACACGAAGCAAACAAGCUAUUAUUAGAACAAUACACCAAACAGUAGUAAAACAAAUAUAAAAGUUUAUCAAAUUAUUCUACGCAGCGCUACGAUCACACAAACAAAAAGUUCACGAAAAUCGGAAUUAAACGUGGAAGUUAUGGAUUUUCUAAGAUUCCCUAUAGAUAAAUAAUUAAUUAAAUGCUACUGCGAAAAUAAAAAGUUUCAAAACAGAAAAAUAAUACUUCUAACAUGUAGAUCUUGUGAUUACAAAUCUAACGCAAUUUGAAUGGAUUAAAUCGGAUUUAAAAUGAGCAUUUUAUGAGCAAAAUAAGUUCAAUGGCAAAACUGUAAAUAGCAGAAAAUGUAUUUUCCUUCAACCAGCCAAGAAUACGUUUUUAAACUCAGGAAACGUAUUUGUUUUCUGGCGCCAAGGACUGCGGGUUCAAUUAUCAAGAAUUCUAGGGUCUCUUUAAGAAAACGGUCGGGCGAAGGGGUAUCCUUCUUUUUCGGCCGUAAGAUCGCGAUGGAACGGUGCAGAUCAGAUCUGGGGAGAGAGGGAGGGCGGGGCGGCGGCGCGCCAUUAUCGCCAAUGAAGAACUCACCGGAGUUCAUGAGUAGAGUGGAGAGCGCUAGGGAACACGGGGAAGGCAUCAAGGGGUGGAGAAGCUCACCGCGAACUCGACUAGAGAGUUCUUUCGGGCCGAAAGCACGUGGAGAAGUCGUGCCACGGUAGCGGCUUGUGAAGUUCGUCGGUGAGAUCCAAAACACGGUGUCGGCCGCAACCAGGGCUCUCUGGCCUCCCAGAUGAGGAAAAACGGGGUGCGGGGAUGAUCCUCAGGGUUUAAAAGGGCUCGGUUCAGCAAAUUUGGUAGGGGAUCCUGGGCAAAUCGGGACUUUAGCUCCCGAUCGGUGUCCUGCUUGAAGACGUCGCGAGAAAGAAGGAAGGAAGGGGAGGAAUGUCGCUGACAUGCGGGGCCUGGCUGGCAGUGAGAGGAAGAGAGAAAGGAGAGGGGGAAAGGCGCUGCUCUGCUGGGCUGGUCAUUGGGCCGAGGGAGAAGAGUGGGCCGCGGGGGGGGGGGGGGAAGAAGGGGGAGCCGGUUGGGCCAGAAUUAGAGAGGGGGAAAGGGUUUUGUCUUUUUUUUUCUAUUUCCCUUUCAUUUAUUCCAAAGCCAUUUUCAAAACUAUUUUAAAAAAAAUCACUUUGAAUUAUUUUUGAACUUUAGUAGAACCAAUCAUCUCAAUAAAUCAUAUGCACGAGCAUGAAGACACAAGCAUGUUACUAAUCCUAUGAUAAGUUUUAUUUUAACAAAAAGUAUUAUUUUUCUAUGUUUCAUGAGCACAAAAAUACAAAAUUAAAUCAUUUUUCACCUAUUUCAAAAGUUGCAAAUUUUUGGGUGUUACAAUUUUCAAUCAAAAUCUUACACUCUUUAAAUACAAAAAAUGCUUCUGAUUUAUGCUUAAAGAAAUAAGGCCAUACCCUAUGAGUAUAAUCAUCAAUGAUUGUCAAUAUAUAACGAGAAUCACCAAUGGAAAGUGUGCAAUAUGGUCUCCAUAAAUCAAAAUACACAUAAUAAGGAAUUCCUUUACUUUUAUGAGUAGAGGUUGUAAAGGACACCCUCUUGUGUUUUCCAAACACACAAUGCUCACAAAACGUUAACUUACUAAUGUUAUAUUCAUCAUAAGUCCUCUCUUGCACAAUUCAUGCAAGCCUUGCUCACUCAUAUGUCAAAAACACAUAUGCCAAAGAUUAGGAGCAUCAGAAUUAGAUGUUGAAUUAAAAAUUACAGCAGCACCACCUGUAAUUGUAGGACCACAAAGACAUUAUAAAUUUGGAGAUUUCAAUUCACCUUUCAUCAUAAUAAGAGAUCCUUUUGACACCUUUAAAACUCUAUCUCCACCGGAGUACUUGUACCCUUUACUAUCAAGAGUACUAAGAGAAAUAAGAUUCUUGCUCAUUUCUGAAAUAUGCCUCAUGUUAAUCAAACUUCUGAGAAUGCCAUCAUGCAUCGUAAUUUGAACAGAUCCAAUGCCAACAAUAUCAAGAAGAUAGUCAUCACCUAAUUUAACAAAACCUCCACCUUGAAGAAUUAUAGGUGACAAACCAAUCUCUAUGUAUGCACAUACGAAAUGAAACAGUGGAAUCAAGAAUCCAUUCAUUAGCAUUAUUUGCACAUCCAGCAAAAGCAACAAGCAAAAUGAACUUAUCUGGCUUAUAAGCAGUAGCAGAAGCAUUACCUUCAUCAUUACAAUUAUCAUUUCCCCUGUAUGUGUUAGUUCUCUUCUCUUUAUUCUUCAAUUUAUAACAUUCACUGAUAAAGUGACUAUCUUUCUUGCAAUACAUGCAAAAUUUAUUUUCCUUGGAGCGGGAUUUUGAAUGACCUUAAUAGCAAUUGGAACAUUUGUCUCUAUUAACAUUAAGUUUAUUUUUUAUCCUCGCACGAACAUAUAAUGCCUCUCCAUUGGGAGCAUAACCUUCAGAAGACACCAUCUAUUUCAUCUUUUCUUGGCAUUCAACGCCUCAAAAACCUCAUCAAGCAUUGGAAUAUCAUGACUAUAUAAUAAUGUAUCUCUAAAGUUUGCAAAAGUACUAGGCAAAGGGCACAAAAGAAUAAGACCCAAAUCCUCAUCAUCAUGAUCUACCUACAUAGCCUUUAGAUCUGAAAUGAUCUCCUUAAAGACCGAAAGAUGGUUAAGCACGGAACCACCAUCCUGCAACUUCUGAAUGCAUCUUGCUUAGCAAAUCCUUAGACACACAAAUUGACUCUAACUUGAGUUGUAAAGCAGCUGCAGUAUUUCCUAUAAACAAUCUUGUAAAAUAUUAUUUGAAAGAUGAAGCUGAAUUUGAGUCAACACCCUAUGAUCUCUUAUUUUCUCAUCUUUGGUUCAAGACUUUAAUUCCUUAUUACCAAAUUUUUCAAGAGCAUCAUCUAUUUCAGCAUGCGUAAGCAUAGCCUUAUAAUAACUUAACAAAGAGCAAACCUUGUGUCGUGAUCCAGUUGAGGAAUAUCAUACUUCAUCGAAGACAUGGUGAAGAAAUAAUAGCAAUAACUAGAAAAAAUGAAUUAGAGAAAAUAAGGUACACUUUGUGUGCACAAAACAAUAAAUCAGUAGCCUGGUACACUAGCUGUGUACAAUUAGCACAUACUCCCUCCGUCCACAAAAGAAUAAAUUCCUAGAAUCCGUGUGAGUUAAACUUUUUUAAGUUUGACUAAAUUUAUAAAAAAGAGUAACAACAUCUAUGACAUAAAAUGUGCAUCAUAUAAAAGAAUAUUCUAUGAUAAAUCUAAUGAUACUAAUUUGAUACCAUAAAUCUUAACAUUUUUUCUAGAAAUUUGGUCAAAGUUUAAUAGUUUGACUUAGGACAACUCUAAAUAUUGAUUAUUUUGUGAACGGAUGGAGUAACUACCAAAGAAAACUCUCCUGGUAGCCUUCACAUGUACACUUGGCAUAACUUUCACCAAAAGUGAUCUCUUCAUCAGAGCAGGCUCUAAGGGAGGGGCAGGCAGUGCGACUAGAGCUCAUGGAGCUUGGGGGGCCAAGACCAUAUAGCCAAUUAGUACACAUAAUUUUCUGUUUGGCAUAAUAAGUAGUUGAAGGUCCACGAUGAAUCAACCAAAGCCAUAGAUAACUCUUCCUUCUAGUCCUAUUCUAUGUAACGAUAGAGACAGAGGACAACAAACACACACGUCACAGUAAGCAACACACCAACAACCUUGAUCGAUUAGUAUUUUCCAUUUUUUUCUUAUUUGUUUUGUAUAUGUGCUAUGCUUGUGUGGUGCUGUGGCCUAGGAAUAUAAAUUUAUAAUUUAAUGUAUCUAUCUAAAUAUAUUAGUUGUUGCCUAAGAAGCAUUUGUGCGGAACUCAAAAAAGAAAAGAAAAAGAAAACAAGGAGAACAGAGUAUUAUUAUGUUUUAUGAACAAUACAUAUAUUACAAAGUAAUUUUUAUUAUCCAUACUAUAUAAAGUAAUUUUGAUAUUAGAAGUUUCAAUUGAUUCAGAUAGACUUUUAAUCAAAAAAUUUAGUUGAACAAACCUUUAUCUUCUUACUUGUCCAAGAGACCUUAAAACUAUAGAGCCAGCCUUAGGCCAGUCUCAAUAGGAGUUUCAUAUGAGUUUCAUUUGCAUUAAAUAGUUUGCCACAUAAGCUUUUUUGAUGACAUGGCGGUGUAUUCAAUAAGAGAGAGAAUAAAUGAGUUUUAUAUAGAUGAAACUCUCUUGGCACGAUUACCAACUCUCUAUGAGUCUUGGAGUUAAAUGCCUAUGAAACUAUGAAAUGAAACUCUCCAUUGAGAGUGGGUGUUUCAUCCAAAUUUCAUUUCAUUUCAUACGACAUGGCAAUCUUGAAAACAACGUCAUGAAACUCUCCACUAAGACUGGCCUUAGUAGUAGUGCAACAAGCAAGGACCUACAACUUGGUGACAUCGGGUCACGUGCGUCCCAAUGGAAAAUUCACCACGGCAGCGCGGCUUCGAUCCACGUGCGCAACAACAAUUCACCAGUUCAAGCACAGGACCCGUACACUGCAAUCUGAGGUCUUGUUUAGUUCACCCAAAAAUCAAAAACUUUUUAAGAUUCUAUGUCACAUUAAAUCUUGCGGCAUAUGCAUGAAACAUUAAAUAUAGACAAAAACAAAAACUAAUUGCACAGUUUAUAUGUAAAUCGCUAGAUGAAUCUUUUGAAUCAAGUUAGUCUAUGAUUGGAUAAUAAUUGUCAAAUGAAAACGAAAGUGCUACACUACCUAAAACAAAAAAAAAACAAAACUAAACAAGGCCUCAAUUCAUCUGCGCGAGAGUAAGGCCUUGUUUAGUUCGUGGGAAAAACUUUUGUGGGUACUAUAUCAUUUUCGUUUGUAUUUGUUAAUUAUUAUCAAACCAUUGACUAACUAGUCUUAAAAGUUUUGCCUCGCAAAUUACAAGCAAAUUGUGCAAUUAGUUAUUUUUAUCUAUAUUUCAUGGUCCACACAUAUGCCGUAAGAUUCGAUAUAAUGGAAAAUCUUAAAAAGAAUUUAGAUUUUCAGUGCAACUAAACAAGGGCUGAAAUUUUCUCUCAAUGCGAGGAAACGCAGCAGCAAAGAACACGGCAGUAGCAUAAUAUUAUCGUUUUUUUUGGCAAUUAGUGUCGAAUCAUGGAUUAAUUAAGCUUAUAAUAUUUAUCUCGCAAAAACUUUUCAAGAUUUCACUGGAUGAUGUUCCUAACUGUUACUAGUUAUAAGCAGAUGACCCAAAAAUCAUGUCUGCUACAAAGGAGUCAUAGUGCAGCGUGCAGAGUACUAGUUUAUGGUAGACUAUUGUGUAACACCCAAAAUUUGAUGUCCAAUUAAUAGGAUUUAAUUUGAAUUUUUUAAGUAUUUUUGUGAGCAUUUAAAUUAGUAAAGAAAUAAAUUUUGUUGAAAUUAAAAUCCAACAUAAAGAUAGAAACUUGUUUAUGCAUUCAUGCAGGAGCACCUUUAAUUUUGUGUUGUUGAAUUUUGGUUAGAAUUUAAUUGCAUUCAAAAUUCCUUUUGGAAAAGGCUUUAGAAAAGAAAAAAAAGAGCAAAACACUAGCCCUGAUCUCGGCCAGGGCCACUGGCCGAGGCCCAGCAUUCCCCCCCCCCCCCCCCCGCGGCCAAGCAUUCCCUCCCCAUCGCUCGGCCCAGCAAGCGACCCGUAGGCUAGCCGCGCGCUGACCUCCCCCUCUCUCUCUGGUUGGCUGACGUUCGGGCCCCACCUUUCUCUCUCACCGACAGCUCGGGCCCGCGUGGCAGCGCCCUAUUCAUCUUCCCCGCAUCGUCACCGAGCUGGACUCGGCCGAGGAACAAUCUCGCCCGGAACAAUCUCGGCCGGGGAAUAUAUCGCGUCUUGUGGUUGGUCGCCAUAAGUUUGUAACUGGCAUCGAACGGUCGGUCGCUAUAUGGUUAAGGCAUCGUCCAACGGUCGGUCGCUAUAUGUGUGGUCGGUCGCUAUAACUUAUACCGACGCCACUUAUAGAGACCGUUCAAGUCGAUCGCUAUAUGUUUAUAGCGACCGUCCGUAGGCCGCUAAACUGACUUAUAGCGACCAACCGUAGGCCGCUGUAGACAGGUUGUGGUAUAGUGCGGGAUAACAUUGCAACCAUGAGGGCUAUAAUGGCUCUGGCUUUAGCUCAGUAUGAAGACCUUUUCUAGCCUGUUAGCGGUUACGCGAAAGGGCGCUAGAGGGGCUUGUCGUUUUGGGUAUAGUGCGGCCUAUGUCUUUAUGUGUACAGGCUGCGAGUCAUUGUGGCAUUGGAAUGGGGGCUCUAUAUCUGCACGCCCGGGAAACCUUGUGGCCUUAACAUGUUAGAAGAACUUUUGAAAGGGUUCAUAGUGAUCCCUGCCGACCUCCCUAGGAAGGGGGUUAAGAGACUAGCUACCUCGGGCGAAAGGGUAAAUCAUGACUCAUGGGUAAAGAUGUACAACCUCUGCAGAUUGUUAAAAACUAGUAUACUAGCUGAGCUCACGGUCAGGAGCGACCUUAGGGACAUCUACAUUAAGAUGAUGAGCUUGUUAUGUUAUUAUGUUCAUUUGAUUAUCGUUUAUGCUAUGAGUUAAUUAUGCUUACAUUUGAUCAUGUGAUUAUUGGAUUAUUUAUGCUACCUUGACACUUGAUAUUUAAUUAUAAACAUGCUAUCUACAAUUAAAAGCUCAAUGCAGUUAAACCAGUGUCAGCUAUUCGAGCCUUAUGAACCCUGGUUAUACUUGUUGAGUAACGAUAUGUGCUCUUACAAUUUCCCAACACCCCAGCUUAUGCAAAUGAUAAUGAUUGGAUUGAGGACUAUCGAUAUGAGUAUUAGGUUUGAAGUCAACCAGUCAAUGUUUAUCCCUAUGUGAAGCUUCCGUUGAAAGAGUUAUUUAUUCUUAUUUAUCAUUAUUAUAAAAGACUAUGUGGUUAUUAUUGUUCCGCUAUGUAAUAGGCAUUGCAAUGAUACUCUUGAGAUUUGUCUACUUAUGUGUGCGACUAUUUCUGGGGCACAUAUGAGUCUUUUAUGCAUCCUAUUUUGUUCUUGAAAUAUGGGUGUGACAAAUUGGUAUCAAAGCUUUGUUGACUGUCAGACGCAAGGGUAGUUAGAAAUUGGCUAUCUUAAGGUUUUGAAAUUUCCAUGAAAUCCUUCUUCUAUAAACCUUGAUACUUUUCUCUACACUAUAUCCUUUUUAUUGCUAUUCAUCUUGACCUUGUUGCUUAUUUCAAAGACUUGUUCUCAUCCCCACUCCUUGACUUUGAUAUGCUUUUAGAAAUUCUUCUUACCACCUUCUGGCGUCAUUGAAAUAGGAGUUUUAGGAUCUUUACCUUUAAUAGGAAGAGAACGAUAGUACCGCAAGUGGAGUCAAUGCUUGAAGUGUGAACCUUUGAUGUUUGGUUUGGUUGUUAUUAUACUCAUGCUUGAUUUGGAUCUUUGUAAUGAGCGUAAUGAUCUUGUGGAUUCUCUAUUUCAUUUAUUUUAUAGGCCUAAGGUAUAAAGAUUAAUGAACUAAAUAGUUGGAUAUGGUUAAAAUUCUGUUUCUGUCUCUCGCUGAUUUCUGGAGCAGUCUGCAA
rnacentral:lncRNA from 1 species